rnacentral:lncRNA from 1 species
ACGAGGACGAUGCUGUCGGACUCCACAAGCAGGUUAGAAUCUGUUAACUCUUGCUGAAUCAGAUCGUUAAGAGAAAAAAUUAAUGCCUGGAUCUCGGUCUCGAGAGCAGAGGAGGCAGAGACAGAGCGUGUGAUUCCACCAAGCAGUCUACCCGAGUGGUCGCGGGCCAUACCAGCAAUCGAUCCUCUGUGAGGUGCCGUGGGAAAGGAGCUGUCCAGAUUGAUCUUCAUCGUGCCCAGCGGGGGAGGUUGCCAAGACCGAUUGGGGCUCAGCCAAGAGGAAUGGCCCUUUAAAUCCUUUUGAUGGACUCGUUUCUGUAGAGAGGCCAGGGCAAAAGCAGAGUCGAUAACCUGAUCUGGGGACUUCUGAACGCGGCGAAAAAUGAAGUGAUUCCGCGCCUUCCAGAUUUCCCAAAGAAGGCUUGCAACCUGCUCAAAGUCUAGUAAGCCUCUGUUUUGAUCAAGAAAAUUUGCUAACCAUGAGUCCAUUCGGGUAGGGGUAUAAGUAAAAAUAUUGAGGUGUACCUUUGAAUGAGUCCAAAUGCGUUGAGUCCAAGGGCAAUGCAAGAAAAUGUGUUCUGUAGUUUCUGGGGAGGCAGAGGAACAGAGACCACAGACUAGGGUUUGAAUGAUCUUUCUGCGGUAUAGAUUAUCUCUAGUUGGUAAUGCAUUCUGACAUACUGACCAUAAAAAAUUACGAAUCUUGGGUGAAGUUUGUGCUUUCCAAAUCUUUUGCCAAACAAGUUUGGGUGGUUGGUAGGAAGAUGAAGCCUGAGAGGUAACCUGCUUGUGUGUGGAUCGAUGAAUUACGUUGUAGCCACUCUUGAAAGAAUAGAUGCCAUCCUGUGUGCCCGUCCAUAUGAGUUUAUCUGCUGUUGAAAGUGGCCAAAGUUUUAACUGGAGGAUCUGCUGUACAGUGGAGUCAUCAAAGAAACGAUUGAGCAGGGCGAUAUUCCAUUCAUUCGAAGAGGGGCUUAUCAGACCAGCAACAGUGUGGGGUUCAUCUCGGAGAGCAGGACCACUUAGAAUUCCAACAGGUAACCAUCUAUCCUCACGGACUUUUAUUGUUUGGCCAUUCCCAACUGACCAUUGAAGCUUUGGACUAAUAGAAUCUCUUCCUAACAGGAUACUUAGCCAACCCCAGGAAGGUCUAUGACCUCUGUCAGCAUGCCAGAAGGUUUUGAAAGGAAAGUACAAACCUUUAAAGACACGGCUCCACAAAGAUGAAGGAUCUUGGAACAAUCUCCAUGCCUGUUUCCCCAGGAGAGCCUUGUUAAAGGUUAGAAAAUCUCAUAAUCCCAUACCUCCAGUAUCUUUUUUGGCUUUGAGUAGAUCCCAUUGUUUCCAAUGAAUGCCAGAUUUAUUAUUGUUUGUUUUCCACCAAAACCUGGAAAUUUUUUGUUCAAUGGAUUUGCAUAUUGAGACCGGGGAUCUUAAUAUAGACAUAGCGUACUGAGGUAGAGAUUGAACAACCGAUUCUAAAAGAACCUCCUUGCCUCCUUUAGAAAUGAAAGACUCUUUCCAUCCCUCCAAUUUUGCAUUAACCUGUCAAAGAGCCAAGCAAAACAUAUCUUUUUUGAAGAGCCCCAAUCGGAAGGUAAACCUAGGUACUUACCAGAUUUUUCCAAAAUAGGAACCCGAAGUUCACUAGCCAGGUUAACUAGAAGAGGCUGAGGGCAUGAUUUCCCCAUAAAUAGACCUGAUUUGUUUCUGUUAAUGGCUUGACCAGUGGCUAAGCAGUAUUGAUUGAGUAUGUUACCGAGAUUUUGACAUUCUCUAGUUGUACCCUCCACAAAAAAAGAUAGAAUCAUCAGCGAAAAGUAAAUGAGAUAAAACAGGACACCAGCGAUUGAGUCUUAUUCCCCUUAAAGAUCCCAUGUCCACAGCUUGAAGGAUAAGUGAGGAGAGCAGAUUAGCCACUAGGAUAAAUAAAUAGGGAGAAAGAGGAUCACCUUGGCGUAGACCUCGAGAGGGCUGAAAAGUAGGUAGCAUUUCGCCGUUAAAUUUAACACUAAAAGAUGUUGAAGAGACGCAAUGCAUAAUCCAGGAGAUCCAUUUAGCAUGAAAACCCAACUGAGAAAGAUAGGCAGCCAAGAAAUCCCACUCCACCCUGUCAUAGGCCUUUUUCAUAUCCACUUUCAAUAUUCCCUGGAAUUUUUUCUUGUUUGUGCGAGUUCUAAUUUGAUGUAGAACCUCCUGAACAAGGAGUAUGUUGUCUUGUAUUUGUCUGCCUGAGAUAAAGGCACUCUGUUCUUGGGAGAUUAGCUCAGGUAGGCAAGUUUUCAGGCGAUUUGCUAAGAUUUUGGAUAUGAUUUUGUAACUAAAGUUACAUAAACUAAUCGGACGAAACUGAUCUAACCUUUCAGGGUUUGGAGUCUUGGGAAUUAGCGAUAUGGAGGUCCUGUUGAUUUCUGCGAGCAGCACUCCCGAACUGAAGAAAGUAUGGACCAUACGAUAAACGUCCUCCUGAAGAAUAUCCCAGUGGUGGUGAUAGAAGAGACCAUUCAAGCCGUCAGGACCCGGUGCAUUGGAUGCGCCCAGCUGAAAGGUAGCCCGUUUAACCUCUUCCCGUGUAAGUUCAGCAGUCAGUAAAGCAUUCAUGUCAGCUGUAACAACCGUAGGACAUUGAGCGAGAAUAGGAUGAAAAUCCCUAGGGCCUUCGGAGGUAUACAGGUCCCUGAAAAAAUCAAAGGUCAUCUGUUUAAGCUGGUUUGGGUGUCGGAUCCAGUUCUCAUUGCUAUCCUGUAGGGUGGUGAUGGUAUUUCUUUUUCUACGUUGGAUAGUUGUAGCUUGAAAAAAUCUCGUGUUUUUAUCCCCACACUGCAGCCAUUUGAUGCGAGACUGCAUUGCCCAGUAGUGCUCUUCUUGAGACCAUAUGUGCUGAAUUUGCGUCUUCAGAGAAUUGAUGUGAAUAUAAUUAUGAUUGACGAUAGGUUGGUUGGUGCAGUGCUGAAGCUGCUGCUGAAGGAGAGAAAGUUGAUGAUGACCCGCUUUGAACUUAUGACUACUCCAUCGCAACAAGGCAGCCGAGGUAGCCUGGAGCUUCUUGGAGAUUGUAGCAUUUACGAGAGAGGAAGAAGACCAGGUAUCGGAAACCACCCUGUGGCAGUCAGGAUCUUGCAACCAGAAAGAUUCAAAGGUAAAUAAUCUCUUCUUUUUAGCUGCAUUUUGAUCAGUAUUAAGUAGAAGUGGACUGUGAUCCGAUGCAAUAGCAGGUAAGGCUAUAACUUCUGCAUUCGCAAAGGUCACUCGCCAUUCAAUCGUACAUAAUGCACGGUCAAGCCUUUCUUUGAUGAUAGCAGCACCACUACGCUGAUUAACCCACGUAUAGGCACAGCCCUUAGAGUCCAUGUCCAACAAAGCACAAUCAUGGAUCAUUUCUCUGAAGGAGUUUAAGCGAUACUAAUCUGCUGGUUUUUGCCCUAUCUUUUCCCAAUGAUGUAGAACCUCAUUGAAAUCACCAAUGCAUAGCCAAGGCAGAGUAUGUAAGAGGCUAAGCCGCCUCAAAUCAGCCCAAAAAGGGAGUCUUUGGCUAUAGACAGCAGGAGCAUGUAGGUAGGUAGUGCACAUAGGGGAAGGGCAUCUAUCAUCAGAACAUAUGGCAUCUAUAAAAUAGGAACUGUGAGCAGUAACUGAGAGAGAAACAGAGUCUCGCCAAAAAAGAACCAUGCCCCUUGCCAAACCGAUAGGAUAAACUACAAAUCUAUUAGGAUACUGCAGCCGCCGUUGUAUAUUUAUAAUAACCUGUUCCUGGUUCCGAGUCUCCAUCAAAAAGAUAAUAUCAGGCCGAUCUUGAGCCACUAAGGCUCUCAGGGCUUGAACUGUCAGGGAAUUGCCCAAUCCCUGACAGUUCCAACUUAAUAUCUUCAUUUGUCCAUAGGUGGCUUUGUCGGGCAAGCCACCACAGCCCAAUCCUCAGCCCUUGGGGCCUCCAGUAUGGGUGUAUCUAAGAGCAAACUCUCAUCAAGAGUGUCAAGAGGGAUGGAACGAGAGUGAUACGGCAAAAAACGCUUAGCCUUUUUUAUAGGAUUUGGUUUUGCACGCAAGUGCGAAUGUUUAGUCUUCUUAGAAAAAGAAGCUUCUAUUGUGGAAUUGGAAUAAUCAUGCUGCUGUGCUGGUGCAGGGUGGGAAGGAAACAAGACCAUAGGCUCAGGAGAGGAGUGGAGCUGCUGAGUUGGUCGAGCCUCCAUUGGAGGGGUUUGUUGAGGGAUCUCAUAAGGAACAGCAGGGAGUAAGAGUUGACCUGAUGGAGGAGUUUCAGGUACGGUUUCUUCAAAAGUUUCUGGAGGUGUUGUAGACUCAUAAAAAGCUUGCCAGAAAGGACUGUGUUCCCUUACAUCAGCCCGAAGCCAUUGUCCAUAGUAUAGUUGAUCCCUGCUAUCAAAUUUAGUAUCCGCAUAGGGAAUAUCCUUGCAAUAUGAUGCAUAGUGACCAAUAAUUCCACAAGAAUAGCAGUAGUGGGGUAAAUGUUCGUAACGGAAGUCGAGCCAUAUGUUUUUCCCUACUAUGCUAAUAAGUUUUCCAGGUUUUAGCGGCUCUGAGAGGCUGAGUUCCACUUUUGCUCGCACAACUCGGAUUGGUGACUUAUCCUUUGAUUAUAUGCGAACCUCCAGAACCUUUCCCACUUCACUCACAGCCUUGCUAACAAGUUGAGGAGUACAUCGCUCUAGAGGAAGGCCAAAUACUUGGACCCAAAAUGCACAGCAUGUGAAGUCAUAACAGUGAAAGGGAGUAUUCGGGGUCUAGGGCUUAAGAAUGACCAGAUUACUAGAAAAUAACCAGGGACCAGUUUCUAACACACGUUGUUUUUCUGCUUCCGAGUUAAACUUGACAACGUAGAGACCUUCCUCCCUCUGUGAUAUCUAAAAACAACGUAGAGACCUUCCUCCCUCUGUGAUAUCUCAACAUUGUCUGUGCGCCAUAUACGAUUCAUUGUAUGCUGAAAAGCAGGGAGAUUGACAGUAGAAGUAGAGAGAAUCUUCCCAAUUAGACAUAACUUACAUUCCUCAAGCUUUGCUACAGGGGCCUCGUCUUCCCAGACUUCAAUCGGCUUAGGAGUCCAUAAACGACCUAACCGACUGCAAAGAGCAGCAAGUCGGGCUUCCUCUCCCUGAGACGAAGACGCCAUCCGAAGAGAAACUCUACUGUAUGGUGGUAUCAGCAAAGAACGGAGAGUGAACAAAGUGAAAAGCCAUCCAUGCACAGAGAUAAUGGUGAAUCGGGAACAUGCAAGAUGAGAAUUUCAGAAAUUUGAGAGAGACAACAGAAAAGAAACAAGAGUGAGAGAGCGACGAGACCAGAAAGCAGGGGAGAUGAAGGGGGAAAGAAGAAAGAUGGAGAAGACCAUGUGGUCAGAAAACUACAUUCACGAAAGAAAUGGAUGGAAAACAAGUUCGGAGGGGGCCAUCAUCCGAAAGUCCUUCCAUUAGCUACAGGAAAAGAAGAAACCCAGAAGCAAGAGAUAGAGGAAGAAGACGGAAGCUCGACAGAGACGAGAAGAAAUUCUCUACAUAGGCGAGAGAGAAAUUCUCUACAUAGGCGAGAGAGGGAGUUGGAUGAGUGCCAAAAAAGCGGCUGGCAAAUUUAACACACAAGGAGCAUUUGUUGAUCAAAGUUCGGCGCAAAUUGACAAGCGCAAAUUGACAAUAAAGAAGCAAAUCAUGAACGCCCUUUGCACCGUAUAUAUUUGUCAAAGAAGUGCACGCCUCCCAAGUCCAUUUUUUUCUACCUCUUUAAUAGCAUGCACAUGGAUGUGCAUGCAUGGCGAUAAAUGGACGUUGAAGACAAAGGCCAAAGUAAAAAGUUGUGGGCUGUUUUUGUCUUCUUUCAUUAACUCAUUGUUUCUUUCCUUUGCUAUUUCAUUCAGCUGCAGCCAACAAAAGGAAAGAAAAGGUAAAAUAUUAAUUGAAGGAGUUGAACGUCAUGGACAUGAUCUUGGAAGACGGCGGCCAUCCUUUUUGUAUGCUCAUCUUCAAAGAUUAUGGGCGCAUGUUUUCUGCCUCAUUAAAUGUGUUCCCAUGCAAAGUGUGCACACGUGCCCAUGAAUUUUGGUGGGCGUCGGUGCUGAUUGUGAGCGCCUGAAUGAGUUCACAUUUCUGUCUUGUUUCUCUCCUACGUUCUCACGCUUUGUGUGAGUUUGCCAUCCAAGCGUCAUUUGCAAGGGAUAAUGAGAUCCUCGUGACUGAACUUUCACGCGUAAAGAUUUCGCGAUAAAUUCUUGUCUACACUCAGAUGCAUAUGAACCGAAUCAAUCACACCUACCCAUCACAUGUAUUGCACGUAAAUUUCACAAAAUCAAAUGGCUGUGAUUGUGCUUGGUUGGACUUGCCGUGAUGCCAGCGAGUAUUUUUCGAGAAUGCCAGUGGAGAGCUCCAAUAGAAAAAGGGAACAAAAAAAAUGUAAACUUAGAGGUAGUUAAAAGGUAUCGAAUUACUAAUUUUGUGACACUGAGGGAGACAGACAAAAGAGAAGUCAUGCAUAUCUGCUCUUAACAAAUGUAAAUUUUGUUGGUGGGUCUUUUGCCCUUAAAAUAAUUUAGAACAUUAACUUAGGGAGUGGGAAACCAAAUCAACUUUUCUUCACUCUUCGUCUAUGGAGGUAACAUGAAUUAUAUUAUAUCAAUAAGUAAUUGUAGGUAGAUAAAGAUUAAUUAAAACUUUUUAAAAUAGUGAUAGGUUGAACCUUAACGAAUAUUGAAUGUGGAAUAUUGAAUGUAAUUUAUUUAAGUGUCCGCUUCUUCUUGUAGUAUAUACUGAUUUCAUAUGCACUGUUAUUGUAUUUAAUAUUCUGAAACAAAAUUAAGUAAGAAAUUAAUACUUGACACGUAAUGUUUAACUUGUGUGGACUAGACACACGUUAAGUAAAGCACCUCGAAAUUCACUUGAUUCUUCACGCAAAUUUCCAGUCAAAUACAUUUAUUGCUUGAUGAAAUUUCCAGCCAAAUGAUAAAAUUCCCGGUGCUCAAUAAUCAAUAAAAUAGCUAAUUGUGGAAGGAGAUUAGUAAACUACUAGGGUUUCCCCAUGAGAAGAGAAGGUGGGGGUUCAAAUUCCCACUUUCUCAGGGAUUAGGAUAUAAACGAUUUAGUUUCGGGUGUGGAUUUCGAUCCUUACGCCUUGUAAUAUGAGUUAGAGUAGGAAUAGAAAAAUGAUCGGUUAAAAAAAAAGAAAAACAAGAAAGAGAUUAAUACCGCAGGAAACGUUUUUAAACAUGCUCUUCUCAUAUUACUCCAUUAAAGAAUUUCAAGAAAUUCAGAAGAGCAACAGAUUUUUUCGAAUCUUUUUGCGAGUACUCAAUCAGCGGUAAUUUAUAGGAAGGUGAGUUAUAAUUACUGAAAUGGAAAUAUUAGAUAAUUUACCAAAAUUAUAACGGCACCAUUAAGCACCUUCUUGGAAAUAUCAUCCAAGAAGCUACCGUGAACUUUCCAGGAAGUUCCCCGCAACGAAAGAUCUCGUCACGUAUUGACUCCCUCAGAACCCGACUCGUUUUGCUGAUCCAAGCACACCCUUUUGUCUUCUCCCUCUUUUUUGUUCACCCAUGUCGUCGUUGAGGCUCCGUAAACCUAGCGAAGAAGCAGCAACCGAUGCGGUGCACGACCGCGGCGAUGGCCCGACGAAUAUCAUCCACAGGCGGAGAUGGCGCCUGGCUUUCACUGUCAUAUACUUCACGAGGGCUCUUGAGUCUCUGUCGAAAAAAGUCCUCGGGAAGAAGACGGACCUGUUGCGGACGCUCUCUUACGUUGCCAUCAAUGUCGACCUCGAGAGCAGUGAUAAUCCCCGUGAAGGAGAUUGCCCUUCCCUUCGGGACGGUGGCCCGAAGAUCCUGAGUAACCUGGUAAGAGAGAAAAGCUUUGAAUCUCUUGCUCAACUUGGUGGCACUAAACAACUCACUUCAAUUCUCAUGACAAAUCUCGAAUAUGGCUUGAGUGGGGAUGAAACCGACCUCAUGCGCCGCACCAAUAUUUUCGGUGCGAAUAAAUACAAUAAGCCCCCGGCAAAGAGCUUUCUCAGCUUUGUGCUUGAUGCGUUCAAAGACAUGAUCAUAAUCAUUCUCAUAGCAUGCGCUGUUCUCUCUUUAGCAUUCGGAAUCAAACAGCACGGCCUUAAAGAAGGUUGGUAUGAUGGUGGGAGUAUAAUCAUCGCCAUCUUUCUGGUCGUCAUUGUCUCCGCUGUCAGCAACUAUAAGCAAGGAAGGCAGUUCCGGAAGCUUUCAAAAGAGAGCAGCAACAUUAGAGUGGAGGUUGUAAGAGAUGGCAGGAGGCAACCAAUCUCCAUAUUUGAUAUUGUCGUAGGUGAUGUCGUGUAUCUGAAGAUUGGCGACCAGGUUCCGGCUGACGGGUUAUUUGUUGAUGGCCAUUCCCUGAGAGUUGACGAGUCUAGCAUGACUGGUGAAAGCGAUCACAUCGAAGUCGAUAGCGAGAACCCUUUCUUGCUCUCGGGCACCAAAGUGAUCGACGGCUACGGUCGAAUGAUGGUUGUUUCUGUCGGCAUGAACACUGCAUGGGGCGAGAUGAUGAGCUCCGUGAGCCGUGACUUAGAUGAAGAGACCCCGCUCCAAGCCCGUCUAAACAAGUUGACUUCCUUCAUCGGGAAGGUCGGGGUUUCGGUGGCCGUACUGGUACUUCUCGUCUUGAUGAUCCGCUACUUCACUGGACACACCCAAGAUGAUGCCGGAAACAGAGAAUUCACCAGCGGGAAGACCAAGUCGGGGGAUGUGAUGAACGCUGUUGUGCGCAUAGUUGCUGCAGCAGUGACCAUUGUGGUGGUGGCUAUACCUGAGGGCUUGCCUUUGGCCGUCACUCUGACGCUGGCCUACUCCAUGAAGCGCAUGAUGGGUGACAAUGCCAUGGUCCGGAAGCUCUCCGCCUGUGAAACCAUGGGUUCUGCCACAACGAUCUGCACGGACAAAACCGGGACCCUCACGUUAAACGAGAUGAGAGUGACAGAGUUAUGUAUGGGAAAAGAACAUGUGAGUGUAGAUGCAUCCAGAGAAAUAGCGACCAGCAUCGUUGAAGUCCUACUACAAGGAAUCGGAUUGAACACGACAGGUACCGUCCACAUGCGACCUUCUGAAUCUGUUCCUGAAAUUUUAGGCAGCCCAACUGAAAAGGCAAUACUUUCUUGGGGUGUAUCCAAAUUGGGUAUGACGAUGGAUGAACUGAAGCAAGAAUGGGAGAUAGUCCAAGUCGAGGCAUUCAAUUCUGAGAAAAAGAGAAGUGGGGUCGCUGUGAGGAGGAGAGGAGAGCAGGUAAUUCACAUACACUGGAAGGGAGCUGCUGAGAUGAUCUUGGCAAUGUGUUCAGAUUAUUAUAGCCAAAGUGGGACGGUGAAUGUCAUGACUGAUGAAGCAAGGUCUGAUUUCGGGACGGUAAUUAAAAAUAUGGCAGACAAAAGCCUGCGCUGCAUCGCAUUCGCCUACAAAAAGUUCGAUGGCCCACUUGCUCAAUUUCAUGGGAAACUUGAGGAAGAUGGACUUACACUGCUGGGGAUAGUGGGGAUAAAGGACCCGUGCAGACCAGGCGUGAGAAGGGCAGUGGUUUCUUGUAGAAGCGCUGGGGUGAACAUCAAGAUGAUCACAGGAGACAACAUGCACACUGCAAGAGCUAUAGCCUUGGAAUGCGGGAUAUUCAAUCCCGAGGAAGAUCUCGAACAUGAAGCCAUAGUGGAGGGCGUGCAGUUUCGCAACUACUCGCCUGAACAGAGAGCAGCAGCAAUCGAGAAAAUCCGGGUAAUGGCUAGAUCAUCCCCAUUUGAUAAGCUUUUGAUGGUGCAGUGCUUGAAGCAGAAAGGGCAUGUGGUGGCAGUCACUGGUGAUGGCACGAAUGACGCGCCAGCCCUAAAGGAAGCGGAUAUUGGCCUCUCCAUGGGAAUCCAAGGCACUGAGGUGGCAAAGGAGAGCUCAGAUAUCGUCAUCCUGGAUGAUAAUUUUGCCUCCGUGGUGACUGUGCUGAGGUGGGGGCGGUGCGUCUACAACAACAUCCAAAAGUUCAUCCAGUUUCAGCUCACUGUGAAUGUGGCUGCACUCGUCAUCAACUUCGUUGCUGCGGUCUCUUCUGGCAAUGUCCCUUUGACAGCUGUCCAGCUUCUUUGGGUGAACUUGAUUAUGGACACCCUGGGAGCUUUGGCAUUGGCGACAGAGCAACCUACAAAUGAUCUCAUGCUAAAGCCACCUGUUGGACGAACCGAGCGGCUUAUAAGCAGAGUCAUGUGGAGGAAUCUCAUAUCUCAGGCCUUGUAUCAAGUUAUCAUCCUCCUGACCCUACAAUUCAAGGGGAGUUCCAUUUUUGGGGUGGACAAGAAAGUGAGGGACACAAUUAUUUUCAACUGCUUCGUCCUCUGCCAGGUCUUCAACGAAUUUAAUGCCAGGAAGCUGGAGGAGAAAAAUGUAUUCAAAGGGAUCCAUAAGAACAAGUUGUUCUUGGGCAUCGUCGGCAUGACCAUAAUUCUUCAGGUGGUGAUGGUUGAGUUUCUAAAGAGGUUUGCCAACACUGAGAGGCUGGACUGGGGACAAUGGGGUGCUUGCAUCGGACUCGCAGCAUUGUCUUGGCCGAUUGGCUGGCUUGUUAAGUGCAUUCCAGUCUCAGGCAAAAAGUUGUUCUUUUCCCGCAGAGAAGAAGCAUCCUGAACUGAGCACAAUGUUAAACUCCGAGAAAAAAACUUUUCUUUUAUUAUAAAAAUGGUUAGGGUUUAGGAAAUUGUUUUUUAAAUUCUAGAUUUUAUGCAUUGCAAGUACUUUUUCUAGAUUUUAUGCAUGGUAAGUAUCUUCCUAGAUGACCUUUGUCUACAGAAUCAAAUCAACAAUUUAUUGCCAUCCAUUAUUUCAACCUUUGUGCUUUGGUCUUGCUUGCUAUGCUACUGUUGAUUUUGGAAAAUCUUGCAGAUGAGGUUAUUAAUCUGGUGAUUGUGCUCUAUGGCCUGCUUUAACAUUAAUAUCUGAACUAGCAUUCAAAAAGUUAUCCUACAGGAAAACUAAAGAAAAAAUUUCCUAGUUCUCAGCAAGCUUCUUAAUGGGGCAGUAAAAUCCCAAAAACUUAUGCCUCAAGCUCAUGCGAGGGUGGCCCUUUAUGUUCUUUGAUCGCAUCAUCUCUCCUUUACUAUAUUAACAAAAAGCACACGGUCCCACGCUACAGAACUAAUUUUAUUUGAUACAGAUGGCGAGGGACGAAUCAAGUCCUUUAUAGUGAGCACAACUUGAAAUCCUAAUGUGCGAAUUAUAUGGCACACUAUUUUAACUAAAUGGCCUAACUUUAAUGAUGGACAAUGAUUCAAUGAUUAAUAUGUAAAUACUCUACAUGACAUACACAUGAUAUAUAUAUAAUCAAAAUUCGUAAUUAAAAAUGAGGGGAAUUAACUAUCUAGAACAAGGAUAAUAUCUAAUUCAAUUUAGGUAUUAAACUGUGUUAAUUCCUAAUUUAAAUUAGAAUUUUAUAUUGAACAAUAUAGAAUCUAUUUAAAACAUGCAAUAUGACCUAAUUAAUCUACAUGAUAUGCAAUGCAAUCUUUUUUGUAUUUUCUAGACAAGGAAAGCAAUUAAAAUAUUCAAACCACUCAAUCCAUAAAGGUAUCAUCCAAUGAUUCAAAUAUGGAACCAACAUCUAAUCAUCGACUUGAAAUGACGCGAAUAAAAUCAACAAAUUAAUCAUAAGCCUUAAAAAUCAAAAUAUCAAUUUUAAGGAUACUCAUGGAAUCAACAAUUCCAUCUAAAGCCUUAUAGAUAGAAUCAAAGAUUAUAUGCAGUUGCAAAUUAGGAAAAACAUCCUAAUUUGGGGAUAAGCUUAUCACUCAAAAAUAUAUAUUAUUUGGAUGCAAUAAUUAAAUUGGACAGUAAGAUAUUCAAUGGAAUGGGAUGACUAUUAUUGUCUAAUUUGGAGAAUUUGUUCCCAAAUUCGAACCAGUGGAUAGCGGGUCGGAUGGUGAUUGGCGAUGGUGCGCGGUGGCGGUGAAGGUGGUUUUCGGCUUUGAUGGAAUGGCCGAUGAAAUAUCGAAGCCCGGUGUGAAUUAGUGGGCGUCGGAUAAUAGUCCGCAAGUAUGGGAGGAUUUUCAGCGUGACCUCCACUCAAAGCUUUGACUUUUACUUUGACCAAACCAUUGAAUAAUCCAAAUAAUCAACGCUUGCUAUUUCUUCAAUUGUGGUUGGGUGGUGCAUGAGAUUAUGGUAGCCUGUGGAGGCGUCGCUCACGUGUUGGAAGCUACGGACGACCAGCAGAGGAGAAAAUCCAGCACGUUGGGGGCUGUGUCGGCGCUGGAGAACCUGAGACCGACUGGAGAAAAUGCCGAGUACGCCUAGCGUUGCUAGAGUGGAUGGCGCGGCAAGGGAUGCUUCGACCGGGGGGUGACGCGAAUCAGCAGCUUGUCGUCACGGGUCGCGAGCGGCAACGGAACAGAGCAGCCUCGUCGUCGCCGGUGCAGGCGGCGAGCAGCGGCAAAACUCGGGAUGGUGACUCACGUUGGCCGGCGAAGGAGGCGUGGCGCAGCGGCCCACUUCAAGCUCCGGUAGUCGGGACAGCAAGCAAAGCAGCAGCGGCUCAUUGCGGAGGGUGCGACGGCGGUGGUGGCGCGGCGAUGGUCUCGGUUUGACGUGGCGGCGCUCAGGCAGUCGGGACAACGGCAGAGACGUCGCGGGGCGGCCCAACAGCAAGGACGUAGCAAGGCGGAGAGCAGCGUUGGGUCGUUGUCGAGGGCGGAGCAGCUCCGGCAGAAAGGAGGCGGCGGCGAUGAGUUGCAGGCGUCGGGAAUGGGGGUACUUUCCUUUCUCUUUCCCUCUGUCUCUCUCUCCUCACUGCGCUCUUGUGCCUCUUUUUUCUCUCUCUCCCUAUCUCAGGCUGACUCCUCUCUUCUUCGUUCAGACGUCGUCUCCUUUGACAGCAGGAACAAAGGCAAAUGUGAACUCAUUAAUUGGGGGCACAGGCGCCCACAAUCAGCACGGAUGCCCCCCAAAUUUAUGUGCAUUCAUGUGAAUGCAUUAAUGAGGGAGAGAACAAAAUAGACGUGCAUAGACUCUUCUUUCCUCUUUCUUUGACUUACUCUCAUUUGUAUGUUAAAGUGAACUUCACCCAAUUAUGACAAAUAAAUAAUCAUUUCCCAAAUCCAAGGAGAUGAGUAGAAGACGACAAAAGGAAGCCCGCGUGAUUAAUCCCUUCACGCUUGUGGCUCAUGAAAUCCACUUGAAAUCUUUUUCUUCCGACAAUUUCGGCUGAUCAAUUCUCAUGCGCCAAUUUUUUUGACUUGCACAUGAUCGAGUUCACAUGUUCUCUUUAGUUUGGUUUUCUUUAAUGAGCUCAAACUCGAGAUAUUUUUUUUUAAUAAUCUCCACACUCUUCAAUAUUGCUAACUAUCUUCUAUUUCCUUUUAUGAGAAUAUGGUUGAAUAUUGCUAUGCAUCCGAAUGUCUCUCUUUUUUUUUCUCCAGAAAUUCCUGCUCCUAAUAUCUUUUCCCUCCCAUUUUGUUGGCCGAGUUUUUCACCGAAUCUUGCCUAUUCCUAUAACUGAAUUUCGGAAGAAUAAUACUAAUCUUUUUUUAAAUGAACAAAUUUUUCCAACUUUGUACAUCUCACAAGUUAAGUUUCAGUCAUUUAAAGAAUGACGAGCUUGUUCAAAUUCUCUUUCGCUGUGGGCUUAGUCCAACUUACUAAAUCAAAAAUCAAAACUAUCAAUUCAAACACAUCCGUGGGUCCAAGGCAAAUGCAAUUUUGCUAUUUUGUUUAGGAAUUAAAGAUUAAUCUCUAAUUUUUAAUGCAAUUAAUUACUAGAUUAUUAAUCAAAAUUUAUGUGUCAACAGGCUCAUUGGUAAUACAAUACUAGCAGUAGAAUCAAAUCGUUGACUAUUUAACAUGACACCACACGAUGAUACAAAAAGAAUGAGAUUGUUCUCAAUGGAGGUCAAUGAUCAAAGCCAUUUGUUUUAAUUUUAGAAAAUUGCAUACACUGUUAGAAAGGAGUUCUUGUAUGUCGAAGAUACAGGCUGCAUUAAAAUUUUGUUACCCAACACUAGGGGCUGUGGCAUGAAAUAGCAAUGGAAGUUGAAACUGGUGCUUAUAUUAAAGUAUAUAUGAGAAGAUAUUAAGAUAUUUUGAUUAAUAUUUCGACACCUAAUGCGCGUUUGCUCUCCCAAAUGAUUGGUUAUUGGUUUGCUUGAUGCAUCGGUUGCAUCACAAUUAAGGGAUUGGCAACUGCAAAAUCCUAGGACCUAAAUCCCAUAGAGGAAGAAAUUCAAUGCACGAUCAAUGAGGUCAAUACCGAUGGCAACAGACAAUAGAAUUCGGGGAGUUCUUGAAUCUUAUGGCCAGAAAAAUCAAGGUAUUUCAUACACACAUAUGUAUGUAUAUAAGUCAAAAUAGCUAGUGUCACUUAAAUCACAUAUUUGCAAAUACUUGAUUGGAUGAUUGUAAAUGCAUGAUAUAUGUUCAAGAGACUGAAAUAGAAGAGGAGUUAAAGGAAGCUUUCAAGGUCAUUGACAAGGAUCAAAAUGUUUACAUACCUCCUAAUGAGGUUUGAAUUAUUUCUAAUCCCACAUUCAAUGUUCAGCUUAUACUUCGUUAAUUGUAGCUUCUUUGUAUCUUGGAGCAACUCCUCCUAACCAAACCCCAUAAAAAGAGGGGAAGGUGACAGAGAAAUAUUGAAUGAAAGACAGUUGUAAAUCUCCAUUUUUAGCUAGGAAGCCCAUUUUAGGCAAGUAAUAUCUGUGAAAUAUUUCAUUAACCACGUAAAGUCUGACAGACAUAACCAACUAGUCAAAUGUUUUUAUCCAUUGUAGUAUCCACAGAUGUAGGAAAAUGGCAUGUUUUGUGAUAUAACAUCAUUUAACAGCAUAUAAUUCUACAUAACCACUUGCAGAAUUCUCUAUGUAAUAAUCCCAAGAAGGAGCCAUUUAUUUUCUCUCGGUGCUUUCCUUCUCUUCUCUAGUCACUCAACUUUUCUUGAACGGCCUUUAUGGGGUUAGUUUAUUAUGCUUGACGUCUCUAUCUUAUGUAGGAUCUUUCAACAACAAUUCACUUAGUCUUGGUUUUCUGUCUAAAAGCUGCAAAUCUUUUACUUACCUUCCAUCUUUGGGAUUAGACUAAUAUGAGAAGCGAACAUUAACCUUAUACACCGAAAUUAACAUGAAGAAGGGAGAGAAAGGAUCAAAGUCCCUGGUAAUGGCUUCUGGUGAUAUUCGAAAUACUCGAAUAUCUGCCUCGCUUCUUUCAAACUUCACAAGCCUUCGAAGAAAUUCCCCUGAUCUAUGUAGAAGCUUCCCGAGGAAUUCUUUUUUUUUUUAUUCAUCGAUGCAAUUCUGGUGACGUGUAAGGAACUUUGGAUCAAGAGCCUCAAAAACAUUUACGACGCGGAUGUAUUGAAUUUUAACUUAGUUGGUAAGAAUACUUAUGUCGCAAUUUUAGACUCUUCUCAAUUUGUUGCGUUGGCAAAUCUUAUGCACGCAAUAGUUUUUUCUUGAAUUUGGAGUGCAUGAUAGAGUCUACCUUACUUGAAUUUACAAUCAUUAAUAUAUUUUUUUCAUUCCCUUAAAGUGAAUUUAAUCAUUUUGUACUUUGAAUGCAUAAUUUAUUAGAUGCAAUAUUUAAAAUAUAUUAUGGAGAGAUUUUUUCACUUGACUAUCACUUUUUCUAGACAAAGCUCUUCGACUUUUAUUGGGAGAAAAAAGAAUCAUUUUAUGAAAUAUGAAUACAUAUAAGGGGGAAAAGUCAAUUUUACUAUAAUAUAUAACAUUUUAUUUAUUUAUUUAUAAGAGAUGAUUACAAUAAAAGUCUGACACUUAGGGUUUUUGCUCAAUUGCACUCCACGUGUAGAAUUAGCAAAUCUGCACACGUGUUGUGUGCGCAAGAUAUUGUUAUUUGAAAGAGUAAGUUUGUUACAUAAUAUUUGAAUCAUUAAAAACUGGGAUAAUAAUAUUGAUAUAAAAUAUACAAUAAAAGAAACUAUAUCUAUGAAAAGAGAAUUAUUUUGUGAUUUGAAAACUUGUUAAGAAUGUUGUUUUAGGAUAAUGGGUGUGUUUAGAAACAGCUUGAGGAAGGCUACUGGAAAAAUGCAAACGACUUCGAGUGAAAUGAUUUUUCCAAAAUGCAAAUAGUGUUUGAUAAAAUAUAAUUUAAAAACACAUGCGAAAACAAUUUUGACGUAAAUAGUAUUUGGAUAAAACUACCUAUUUUUUUUUAAAAAAAAUAAAAGUUUCAAACAUUGUCAACGGUGUUGACACCUAAAUUUUGGCGACCCAUUUAGACAUUUAAAAAUUAGGGGUUAAUUUUAUCCCUAAAAAAAUAAAAUCACAUGGCAUAUAGUUUAGGAACAUUUUUGUUUAUUUUAUUGGACCGACGGCGAGUGCAAAAUUUUUCACAUAUUCCGUUCAGAUUCUUCACACAUUUAUGCAUUUUCGAACAAAAAGGAAAAUUUUGGAUAGAAUAUGUGAAAAAUACAAAAGGGGAAUAUUGCACAAGGUGGAUAUAUUUCAAUGAUAUAUUUAGGGGUAUCAUGCGCGAACAAACAAAGGAAAAAAUAUAUACCGUAGAGAUGCAUUUUUUAGACCUAUAUAAUACCUCGCGUGCAAUUCGUUUGAGGAGGCCAGACAUAUCAAUCCACACGGCCAUACAAAGGGGGGCUUCUCUAAAAAAAAUUGAGAGAAAAAAGGGAGAAGGAGAAGAAAAUUUCUUCUGCAGAAAGUGCAAAAGGAAAAACUGCAAAAAAAAAACAAAAGAAAAAAUCAGAACGUGAAAGAAAGAGUAGGAGAGAAAAGAGAAAAGUAAAAACAGUAAAGGUUGAUUUGACCUUUACUGUUCAUCAUCUUCCCCAAAUCCACUCCUCACCCGCGCGCUGCAACUCGCGGAGACCCGACGCCGGAGCUCCGACGAAGCCCGCCGCUCCUGACGAUCGCCGAGCGCCACCCACCACUGCACCACCGCCGCUCCUGACCUCGCACUGCGCCCCGACGACCGCGCUCUCACCUUCGCCGACGCCGCGCCGCUGCAACACCCCUGCUCUGCCCGCGACGCCGCCCAUUGAUCUCCAAGCUCCGCCGCGCCUCCGCCAGAUGCCGUCGCUGCCCCACCUGACGCCAAGUGUCGCCCAGCCCGCGCAUCUGCUCGGAGCCCGACGCCACGCGUCUCUGCAACCCGUGACCAGCGCCGAGCAUGGCCCAGCCAACGCCUGCAACUCCGGAUCCGCUGCCCGACGUCGCCGGAGCCAGCACCGUCGCUGCUCGCCUCAGCCCAACGCACCCCAGUCGGAGCCGCGCCACGGCGACACCAGCCACCUCCGCGACCCGAGCGCCCCAACUCCACCUCAGCCCGUGCCGAUCUGCUCGACGCCGCUGGUUGCCGCGCCAAGCACCUGCAACGUCGGCACCAUCCCUGCUGCUGCACCACCAGAGCCCGACGCCUCCGCUUUGCCUCGCGCGACCCGCAAGCCCCUCGCCGCCGACGUGCCGCUCCCGGUGCCUCGCCGGACCUCCGGUCAGCCAUCCUUGGAUGGACCCCACGGCUGCCAAGCCCAAAUAAAAAAAAAACAAGAGAAAACACAUUAGGUAGUUUUCUUUAGUUUAUUUUAUUUAAUUUAUUUUACUUUUAUCUUGUUUUUUUAGUAUAAUUAGUCUUUAGUAUAUGAUUGGAAAUUCAACAUAUUACCGGAUUCGCGACCGCGCCAGGAUUUUUUAUUUCAUCUAUAAGGCCUUAGAUGAAAUAAUUAAUUAAGCGGGAAUAAAAUUGAUAUUUUGAUCUUUAAGGCUUAAGAUCAAUUUAUUGAUUUUAUUAGCGAAAUAUUGUCUCUUGAUCUGAACGAUGUGCGAUAUUUCUGAUGAUUUUGAAUGAAUUGUCUCGUCUUAAUUGCCUAGUUUAUCUCGAGAUAUGUUUGAAUUAGAAUAUUGCAUGUCUUAGGGUUUACAUGUUUAGAAUAGGAAUUUUAUUUAAAAAAUCAAAAAAAUCAAUUUAGGGUUAGCUUCAUUUAGAUGCAUGUCAUUUAGGGAUUGUUAUUAGACCCAUUUAAUUAGAAAUUGCAUGACAUUAGAAUUAGGUCAUUUCGUUAAUAUUGCAUUGCAUAUUGCAUGAUUCUCAUUAAUUAAGUGAAAAAUAAAAAAAGAAAUUGCGUGGUAAUUAGAAAUCAUAUCUAGGGUUGUUGAUGUGGUUUUUAACUUAACAUUGCAGAUGCUUUCGUUGUUUUGAGGUAAGUUUUUGCAAUUUAUUUAUUGUUUAUCUGGGUGUUAAAUUAGUGGAUUGCGCACUCGCAUGAUCACCUCACAUGUUAGGAAAAUAGAUUUAAAAUCAAUUUAAGCUGCCUGCAAAAACAUUUUUUGAAAAUAAAAUAAUGGUACCGAAAGGGCAUUAGAGAAAUCUAGUGUAACCAAGUCCCCGUACCCAUAGUGUCUGGUUCGUAGGAGUAAAGUGAAACUCCCAUUACUUUACUUGGGUUUCUAAUCGACCCACCAAAAAAUAGAUUAGUGGCGACUCCUGAUUAAAAAAUCAAUUGCAUGCUAAAAACAUGAACCUAAGUCGCGAAUUGGUAUGGGCUUGGGAGAGCCCGAGUUAAGUUUAGGCUUAACAAUCCAUUAGCCAAACCCUAGGUGGUUCAAACCCCGAAAAAAUUGGUCGCGACAGCUUGGCGACUCCGCUGGGGACUUGUGUUAAAACACUUAGUGGACUUAAGCCAAUUUUCUUUUUGAAAAAAUGUUUUUGUUUAGCAGCGAGGAUCCCAGGUACGUCCCUAACAUUUAAGGUGUUAAAUGUUUUUGCAGAUUGGGAGGUAUAAGGGGAAGUGUUUGUUAACCUCUGUUUUGUAGGAAGGUGAAGGAAUGUAUGGUUUAUUUUCAUGAACGAAGUGUUGCUUGAUAUAAACUGUCGUGCAUGCUUUGCAUCUUGCACUACACUUUUGCACACACAACCUGCCGCCGGACCUGGGCCGCACUAGGACAUUUAGGAUGGUAUUGAGUUGGAUACGACUUCGACCGCGAGGCCGCGUAGUAGAGGUUGCCUAACUCAAUCCCGAAAGUUUUUCUUGGUGUUAAGAAUGUUUACCUCUGCCCGCGAGGCUGCGUCGCAUUGGGGUAUCAUUCUUGACUGAGCCGGAAUUAGGAGGACUUGACUUAGUAUGCGAGGCUGCAACUAAGUCAUCUCACCCUUUUAACUCCACAUUGCUUAGCCUUUCUAGUUAGAAAUCGAACCACACAUCUCACGCGCAUGUCUAUGUGAUUGCCGUCGUUUUACCUUAGUGAAGUAAGUCUUCUAUCUUUAUACCAUGCAAUUUAUUUUGUAAUGUUUUUAGUCGGUCCAUGACAAUUUAGGUCAAUCAUUAAUUUAACUUCUUUGUCAAUUAGAGAUGGAAUGAGGAAAUUGACAUGCAAUAAAUCAUUUGGGAAAAUAAAAAAAUUUGGAGAAUUUGUUUUUCAAUUCAUGUCUAGAAAAUUUGAUCUUUAUCCACUUUUCUAGCUCUCUUUAGGAAAUUCUCUUCUUGUAACAACUUUUCAUAAAAAAAAAAAAAAAAAAAAAAUCAGUUUUUAAGCCAUUUCCAAAAACAUGCAUUAGAUUACCCUUGUUUGUUUUUCUAAUUCAUUUACUUCAUGUCUCAGAGCAUAACAAAGAGGCGUUUGAAAAUAACUCGUCAAUUUCCAGUGAUAGCGGGCCCAUUGAUUUGGGAACAUACAUCCAAAGGAAAAAUAGGCAUGGGGGCAAGGGAUCAUUUCCUAGCUGAUCUUGAUGACAUCUCCCAAGAGUAAAGAAGACAUUAAGCACUACUUAUCCUCUUACUUAUCCCGAGCGAUUUCCUUGCACAUCAAUAAGAAACCGAGGGCAAGUCAAAAGGAGAUCAUCUAGAUUCCAAAGUGUGAUGUGCGACACAUCUCAUUACAAUUUGUGUGAGAUGUCAUUCUCGAAAGCCAAAUGAAGUUUCUCAUUUCCGUGAGAAAAUGAUGAAACAAGUCAAAAGAAGAUCAUCCGUCUUGAAUGAAAUGGAUACAUUGCGUUCAUGAAUAUAAUUAAUUUCGGAAUUGACACUUUUGUUCUUUUCCUUGCAGAUGAAGAAUUGGGAUACUACAGAUUCUAGUAGUGACAUGAUUGAGACAAAAUCUCGAUUCGAGCCAAAAUGGUUGUGCUAUUUGAAUUUACUCUGAUGUUGCGUAGUAUCCUAUUCAUGCACGUUCUCUUGUGCAGGGACCAAAGAGGAUCUCCACUUUUGAUGGAUAGAGACGAUAUGAGGACAUCCAUUGCUAAGGCAAUUCUUUUAUGGAGCGAUUCCCCUGAAUGAGUGCUUAAAACCAUGUUUUGAGUGCGAUAAAUUGUUUGCUUUGAAGUCACAAAAGUUUUUCAUGUUUAAAGUUGCCAGACUCUUUUGAAAAGAGAAUUUUCAUAUUGAUUUAGCUCACCAAUUUCAUGUGGAGAUUUAUCAAGAUAGACCACUUAAUGGAGUGACAUCAAUGUUUAAGAAUGCUGAAUGAGACGUAUCAGGAUGAUGAAAGGCAAGCCCUAUCCUAUACACAGUCCCUUCCUUGAUACACUUGUGAGAUGAAUGUAGGAAGUUCCAUAUCUAUGAGGUAAAGAGUUCUCUCGCAAAAGGUACGAUAACCGAAAUGAUGAGAGGCAAUUCAUUUCUCUAUCCCAAACACAACAGGUGAUCCAUUGCUUAACCACUUUGAGCCUUAUACACCUGUGAAGAUUUUUUUUUAAAAAGUUAUCCCUGUCAAGAACCACCCCACAUUGGGGCAAAUUGGAGGGUAAGACAGCACCAUAAAUCGAAGAAAAUGGAUUGAAAUUUUCUUGCUUUCACUUGCAUCAAUUUUCAAGUCGUGCUAUUACAUUGAAUUCAUAUGGUAAUUUAAGUGCCUUAGGAUGACGAAGAGCAUUUUUUUUCUCUAUCCUACAUACUUAUAUCUUUUGCAUAGCCCACUUGAACCUGCAAUUUCGUUUCUUUAAACCCAGUUGGCGAUCAUCCCCCACACUGGGGCAAGGCAAAAGGCAGAGAAGACCCUUGAAAGUUCGAGUGUCAUUGUUUGACGCAUGCAUUGUGCGCAAAAAUUGAAUUCGAAAUAGAACUAAGAGGCAUGAGAAAGCAGUGUGCCUGGUAAAAGUAAGGCCAAUGCCCAUGAAAAGAAGUGAAAAAAAAUGCAUGAGAACUGGGGGUAUGAAAAAGCAGUGUGCCUAGUAAAAGCAAGGCCAAUACCCAUAGAUGAAAAAGAGAGUCAAUAUUGGUGACUGUCAAAUGCAAGAAUUGAGUCUCAAUGGAGCAAUACUCAAAGAACUCAAAUGCUGAGUUUUCAUAAUCAAUGGGGCACUUCAUGAAGACAAUCCCCGAUAAAAAAACUGGUGGCAAUGCCGAGAUGAUCAUCAGCUCUCACCCUUUACACAUAUUCUAAGCCUGCUUAUCCUUCCAUUUCUCAACCCAUGAACCUAGCCUAUGUUACAUCCCUUACAAAGUCUCUUCAGAUUAUGGCACUUGAAUUAACAUAGGAGUUCACAUGUUUUAAGCAUCGCUCGAAAAAGUGCGAGCAAGAUUAUUUCUUUCUCAUUUUGCAGGGUUCUUGACUUAUAAACCCGGAGAUGAUUAAAGAGUUGUUCUUUCAAUAGCCUUGACUCAAAGAGUCCCUUUGUUAAGCCGUUGACCGAGCCCACAUUGCGGUCCCUAUUAAAGACCUCUCAGAUUGGUAAGGUCGUACCGCUUGCGAGAAAACUCGGACCCUUGUUAAUAUGAUGACAGUAAGAUGGAGUGAUUAUCAUAAAAUAGCCUCUAAAUGAGAGUGAGUGAAAGUCCUUUCUAACUGAAGGUCUCUCAUUUGAUAUUCUUAGGAAAUCCAUGUUAUGAGUGAAGAUUGUCUUGAAUGAUAAUUCUCUCCAGCGGAAAUUUGGGUGAUGCAAAGGUCAUUAUGCAUGAACCCUGAUUGAGUUGAAAAAAAAAACUCACUAAAUUUUGAAAUAUGCAUUCUAGAGUAACUCAGAUUGUUUAUCUCUUUGAUGAAUGCAUAUCAAUUUUUGCUUUAAAUCAUGUCUGAAGGGUAAUUCAAGUUCCUUUCAGAAUGUUUCAUGAUAUUAGGAGAUGAGAAACCUCCACCAUGAGGUGAAAGACCUCCACAGGAUAUCUAAAUUUCAAAAGACAUAUCCCCAAGAAUCAGAGAUAUCACCAGGUAAGUAUAUCUCUAUCCAUAUUUUGAAUAUUUGUCAUUGCACAGGUAUCCCCUUUUAAGCAUACCGACACUCAAUUGAGUUGUCCCCCAAAGAUUUUUCCUCCAGAUUCAAUCUGAUUAAGGCGACCGAAGAAUGGUUCGGGUCCUGGUUGGAUGAUUUCUGUCGCAAGGCUGGGCGACCGAAGAAUGGUUCGAGUCCUAGCCAAGCAAAACCUCAGUCUAGGUGACCGUAGAAUGGUACGGGUCCUAGACACCAUUAAAGAUUUUUCCUCCAGAUUCAAUCUGAUUAAGGCGACCGAAGAAUGGUUCGGGUCCUGGUCGGAUGAUUUCUGUCGCAAGGCUUUGACCGAAGAAUGGUUCGGGUCCUAGCCAAGCAAAACCUCAGUCUAGGCGACCGUAGAAUGGUACGGGUCCUAGACAACAUUUAUUGCUCUAACAGGCGACCGUAGAAUGGUACGGGUCCUGGAAAAGCAGUUUCCCCCAUUCAGGUGACCGUAAAAUGGUACGGGUCCUGGAAAAAUAAUUUUCUUCGUCGAGGCGACCGUAGAAUGGUACGGGUCCUGGAAAAUGAAUCCUCGUUUAAGCGACCAUAGAAUGGUACGGGUCCUAGACAAAACAUUUUUGCCGUACUGGGCGACCGUAGAAUGGUACGGGUCCUGGGAAAGCAGUUCCUUACAAAACUUUUCUGCCGUAUUGGGCGACCGUAGAAUGGUACGGGUCCUGAGAAAGCAGCUCCUUUCUGCCAUACUGGGCGACCGUAGAAUGGUACGGGUCCUAGGAAAGCAGCAUCUUCACAAAGUCAUGUUACUAUUCUAGGCGACCGUAGAAUGGUACGGGUCCUGGACGGGUAACACUCACUACCUCGAAUUACUUUAUCCUCCUCGAAGGUAAGUUAUCCCAGGUAGGCUCAUCUAUCAUUUGCAUUAGCAUUUCCAUGCAUCAUAUAAAUUGCAUUAAAAAAUGGAAUUCACGUUCCAACAAAAAAUCAUUCACUGCAUGUGCAUGGUCAAAAUUUAGGUCUCAAUUUGUCUUUGAAUGCAACCUCUACGAGCUCACCUUCAAAGAGGGGCAGCUGUUGACACCUAAAUUUUGACGACCCAUUUAGACAUUUAAAAAUUAGGGGUUAAUUUUAUCCCUGAAAAAAUAAAAUCACAUGGCAUAUAGUUUAGGAACAUUUUUGUUUAUUUUAUUGGACCGACGGCGAGUGCAAAAUUUUUCACAUAUUCCGUUCAGAUUCUUCACACAUUUAUGCAUUUUCGAACAAAAAGGAAAAUUUUGGAUAGAAUAUGUGAAAAAUACAAAAGGGGAAUAUUGCACAAGGUGGAUAUAUUUCAAUGAUAUAUUUAGGGGUAUCAUGCGCGAACAAAAAAAGGAAAAAAUAUAUACCGUAGAGAUGCAUUUUUUAGACCUAUAUAAUACCUCGCGUGCAAUUCGUUUGAGGAGGCCAGACAUAUCAAUCCACACGGCCAUACAAAGGGGGGCUUCUCUAAAAAAAAUUGAGAGAAAAAAGGGAGAAGGAGAAGAAAAUUUCUUCUGCAGAAAGUGCAAAAGGAAAAAUUGCAAAAAAAACAAAAGAAAAAGUCAGAACGUGAGAGAAAGAGUAGGAGAGAAAAGAGAAAAGUAAAAACAGUAAAGGUUGAUUUGACCUUUACUGUUCAUCAUCUUCCCCAAAUCCACUCCUCACCCGUGCGCUGCAACCCGCGGAGACCCGACGCUGGAGCUCCGACGAAGCCCGCCGCUCCUGACGAUCGCCGAGCGCCACCCACCACCGCACCACCGCCGCUCCUAACCUCGCACCGCGCCCCGACGACCGCGCUCUCACCUUCUCCGACGCUGCGCCGCUGCAACACCCCUGCUCUGCCCACGACGCCGCACCUCCAAGCUCGGCCGCGCCUCCGCCAUACGCCGUCGCUGCCCCGCCUGACGCCAAGUGUCGCCCAGCCCGCGCAUCUGCUCGGAGCCCGACGCCCCGCGUCUCUGCAACCCGCGACCAGCGCCGAGCAUGGCCCAGCCAACGCCUGCAACUCCGGAUCCGCUGCCCGACGUUGCCGAAGCCAGCACCGUCGCUGCUCGCCUCAGCUCAACGCACCCCAGCCGGAGUCGCGCCACGGCGACACCAGCCACCUUCGCGACCCAAGCGCUCCAACUCCACCUCAGCCCGUGCCGAUUUGCUCGACGCCGCUGGUCACCNNNNNNNNNNNNNNNNNNNNNNNNNNNNNNNNNNNNNNNNNNNNNNNNNNNNNNNNNNNNNNNNNNNNNNNNNNNNNNNNNNNNNNNNNNNNNNNNNNNNNNNNNNNNNNNNNNNNNNNNNNNNNNNNNNNNNNNNNNNNNNNNNNNNNNNNNNNNNNCGAAGCCCAAAAUAAAAAAAAAAAACAAGAGAAAACACAUUAGGUAGUUUUCUUUAGUUUAUUUUAUUUAAUUUAUUUUACUUUUAUCUUGUUUUUUUUAGUAUAAUUAGUCUUUAGUAUAUGAUUGGAAAUUCAACAUAUUACCGGAUUCGCGACCGCGCCAGGAUUUUUUAUUUCAUCUAUAAGGCUUUAGAUGAAAUAAUUAAUUAAGCGGGAAUAAAAUUGAUAUUUUGAUCUUUAAGGCUUAAGAUCAAUUUAUUGAUUUUAUUAGCGAAAUAUUGUCUCUUGAUCUGAACGAUGUGCGAUAUUUCUGAUGAUUUUGAAUGAAUUGUCUCGUCUUAAUUGCCUAGUUUAUCUCGAGAUAUGUUUGAAUUAGAAUAUUGCAUGUCUUAGGGUUUACAUGUUUAGAAUAGGAAUUUUAUUUAAAAAAUCAAAAAAAUCAAUUUAGGGUUAGCUUCAUUUAGAUGCAUGUCAUUUAGGGAUUGUUAUUAGACCCAUUUAAUUAGAAAUUGCAUGACAUUAGAAUUAGGUCAUUUUGUUAAUAUUGCAUUGCAUAUUGCAUGAUUCUCAUUAAUUAAGUGAAAAAUAAAAAAAGAAAUUGCGUGGUAAUUAGAAAUCAUAUCUAGGGUUGUUGAUGUGGUUUUUAACUUAACAUUGCAGAUGCUUUCGUUGUUUUGAGGUAAGUUUUUGCAAUUUAUUUAUUGUUUAUCUGGGUGUUAAAUUAGUGGAUUGCGCACUCGCAUGAUCACCUCACAUGUUAGGAAAAUAGAUUUAAAAUCAAUUUAAGCUGCCUGCAAAAACAUUUUUUGAAAAUAAAAUAAUGGUACCGAAAGGGCAUUAGAGAAAUCUAGUGUAACCAAGUUCCCGUACCCAUAGUGUCUGGUUCGUAGGAGUAAAGUGAAACUCCCAUUACUUUACUUGGGUUUCUAAUUAACCCACCAAAAAAUAGAUUAGUGGCGACUCCUGAUUAAAAAAUCAAUUGCAUGCUAAAAACAUGAACCUAAGUCGCGAAUUGGUAUGGGCUUGGGAGAGCCCGAGUUAAGUUUAGGCUUAACAAUCCAUUAGCCAAACCCUAGGUGGUUCAAACCCCGAAAAAAUUGGUCGCGACAAACGGAACUCAAGUCAUUGACAAGCCAAAUCGACUAUCGGUGCCUAGAUCUAGCCAUUGGCCAACCUCGCUUGAGUCAUGCAACCUAGGCCGCGCACAAGGUUGGGCAGCGACGGCUCGCCAGGCCAGCCACUCACUAGUUGCUAUGGCCUUUGCUAACAACGUUAAGAUUUUGGAGGACAUUUCCGUAACUAUGAUAUAUAGCGGGGGUAAUGUUGGAAGGGGAAAAAACUUAUUUUGUAUUUAGAAAAUGCUCAAAGCUCAAAGUACUUCUAGACCUACCUCGAGUUAAAGCCUAAAGGCCUUUUGAGGCAUUUCGAAAUGAAAUUGCAUUUUCCCAAAACUAUCUUAAAAAAAUUAUUAAAUAGUAUUUGCAUUUGCCAGAGAGACUUUGGAGCCCCAAACCUCUUGAGAAUGCAAUUCUCAAAUGCAGCCAAUAAUGUCUGACUUUUAAUAUUGGAAAAUGUUGAAUUUACACAAUUUGUCCAUGGGCACAAUUUUUGUAAAAUAAGUAACCAAGUAUGUUUGGAGGAAGAAAAAAUGAUUGAGAUACCUUGAAAUUAGAAGGAUCUUUCUACUUUAUGUUAUAAUAACGUAAACGAAUAACUCGAAGCAGUUUCAAGUGGUCGUAAACUAGUGAAAAAGCAAAUUUAGUGCACGUCUUUAAUUUUAGCAAGACAUGAUGCUUUUUGUCUUCUCUAUGAAGUGAAAUUCUCCACCAUAAAGUGAUUGAUCCCAUUCUGAGAUACAAGCCCAAUAAGCCACAACAAGCUUUUUCCAUAUGUGGUUCAGAAUAUUUUUAUAACUUCUAUUCAAGACGGGCUUCAUAUUCCCCGAAGUAGACUACUUCUCGUGAAUUGAUUAUGUGGACUAGGUUUACAAUAAAAUACGUCAACACGAUAAUUAGUGACGGUGAUUCUCACAUGAUUUGAAGGUCGAGAUGCUAUUUGGACAAUAAAUUUGAUUCCUUUGAGAUACUAUGUUGACUUAAUAUUCGGUAGUCAAUUUUGAAAAGAACAACUAAUUGUAAAUACAUCUGUUAGAUCCUUUACAUUUCCUUCGGGAAAAGUCCCAAAAAAGUCAUAAACCUAUUGUAUUAGUACCAAUUCAGUUAUAAACUUAUCAAUUUGACCAAUUCAGUCAUGAACAUUUUAAUAUUGGUACCAAUUCAGUCCAUCUGGCCAAUUUUGGCCAGCCGGCGUUGACAUGGACGUCGGUCGAACACUGAUGUGGCAAUUUUUAUGAUUUUUUAAUGAUUUUUUUGAAUUUUUUUCUUUUUUCUUUUCUUUUUUCUUUUAAUUUCUGCCUUCUUCUCGGUGGUGGUUGGCGAGCCUCCGGUGAGGCUCACCGGCCACUAGGUGAGGGCCGCGAAGCCCUUGCCUGCCGUCGGCGAGGGUCGCGGCCCUCACCCAGCCUCUCUUAGGGCCGCCGGUGAGGCGCUUCGCCCGAAUCUAGGUGAGGCCAACCUCGCCCGCGGCUGGCGAGGCCAUGGCAGCCAUCAACCAUCGACCGACGUCCACGUCAGUGCCGGCCAUCCAAAAUUGGCCGGAUGGAUUGAAUUGGUGCCAAUAUUAAAAGGUUUAGGACUAAAUUUGUCAAAUUAAAAAGUUUAGAACUAAAUUGGUACCAAUACAAUAGGUUUAUGACUUUUUUGGUACUUUUCCCCAUUUCCUUCUUCACCUAAAAGAUUAAUGUUGUGUAAUAAGAUGUUUGAUCUUAACUUGAACACUAGACAAAAUAUUUUCCAAUUGAUAUUUUCUUCACAACACUCUUUUGGUCCCCCGAGAGAUCAAGGUUCCUCACCUUAUUUUUCUUGGACAUCUCGAUAAAUCUCAACCCAUAUAAAUUUGUAUUUAUUUCUAAGGCACCUUCAUCAUCCUUUCGAAUUGACGCGGAUUCCAACUUCCAAAUCUGGCAUUAUUUUUCUCGUGAAUAUUCUUGUUCUCUUUUAUUAAUGUCAAAGUGUUUGGGAAAUAACAUAACUUAUUAAAUGUCCAACGCAAAUGCUUAAGAUUAAUGAUUGAGGAUGCAUAGAAAGUGCAUACAGAACCAUAAGAGCAAUAUCAAAUAUUUGAACACUCUUUUUCUCAUGUACAAGAAGAAUUAAAUUUAACAAUUGCACAUGUCAAUAAAUCGAAACAAAACUAGAAUCUGAUACCAUAUUAAGUUGUUCAUUCUGAAAACUUAAAUUCAUAGGAGUGAACUCAGAAAUUUAUCGGCAAAUGAUUAAAAGAAAAUGAGAAACAUUCUUUCUAAGGAGGACGAGAUAUCAUAAAUAAAUAUUAUUGCAUUUAGUCGUGUCUAGUCAUAAGUCAAGUCAAGUCAAGUCAAGGUCAAAAGAAAAAAGGCAAGUCACUUGGGGUUGCUUGCAUGGUCGGCAAGUGGCUUAUAAUGGCGUAACAUGCCUAUUGAGUGUUUCACUAAAUGUACUAUUCCACACAUUAUGCCCGCUUUGGCGCCCUUUCUCCAUCAAAGCAAAUGCCUCCACGUUCAUCUGACCACGACUGAGGCAUGGCGUGCACGACGGUGUACGUCCCUCAUCGGAAAUAAUCAUAGUAGAAAGGCUUAUCAUCCCAUAAUAUUAUACUAGAGUGAUCCGGUCCGAUUCUACUUAGGAAUUGAGAAUCCAUCCGGUCUAGUUCCAUUAAAUCAAUUACUUAUCAAAAAAUAUUUUUAAAAAAAAAUACAAGAAUUGUUAUUAUUUUUAAGUUUUAUUAUUAUUUUUAAGAAAUUAAAAAAUAUUUUUUUUUUAAAAGAAGAUGUCGGUCCGAUCCAAUCCUAUACAAUUCCGGUUCGGUCUAGUCUAGUUCCCUCUGGAAUCGGAAAUCGGAUCGCAAUCAGCGGUUUCAUUUUUAUAGAAUUGUGAAUCAGACUAAAUUAACUGAUCCAGUCCGAUCUAGGCGAUUCUCAAAUUGGGUGAUUCGCUUUGCUCACCCCUAAAGUUUAUAGUCAUGAUCGACUGGUUUUUCGGUUGACGAAUUGUUAAAGACUUGCAAUUCAAUUUUUGGACUUUUGCUACCAGAAAAGACUAAAUAAAAUAAGGCCCACAAUAAACGAAAAUUUAGUGACAGUACUCACUCGGAAAUAAUAAAUGGACCCCAUGGUCGUACUUUAAAAUGUCUUCAGGUGAGAGAACGGGGCCCGCCAUUCGGUUUUUAAUUAUGACUCGAAGAGACCUCAUCGUUUUCUACGUAAAUGGGCCCUACUUUCCUAGCAACUCCUAACGUUAUAUCCAAUUUCAAUUCUAUUUUAAAUUUUUUUAUCUCAAAAAAUAUCCUAAAUUUUAGAUUCAGUUUUAAAUCAUUAUCGAUUUUUUUAUCUUGGAAAAACCUUCAAACUUAAGGUGAAAUUCCAAAUAUAACUCAAAUUUUGUUUCGUUAAAAAAAAAUCUUAAACUUUCAAUUUAUUACCCAACUUGAUGUGGCAUUUCCAUGUCAAUAAAAAAAUCUAUAUCAGCAAGAUGACAUGAAAAAUCUUCAAAAUAAAACCAAUUUUUGGGUAUGAAAAUUAGAGAUAACUAAUGAGGAUUUUUGGACGGAGGAGGACUAAUGGGGCUAGAUUUGAAAUCAGAGUAAAAAUUGAUGAUUUUUCUUUUAGACAAAAAAAAAUUUUGAAGGGUAGACUUAGGAUUGAAUUUUAAGUUAGGUGUUUUUUUUAGACAAAGAAAAAUUUGGGCACAUUUGGAAUGGAUUAAAGUUUGAGGCUUUUCUUAUAGAUAACAAAAUUCAAGGCAAAAUUGGAAUUACACCUAAAGUUGGGUUUUCCUUAGGGACUUAGGCCAUGAAAAUGGUAUGUGAUAGUUCACAACUUCGAUCAAUCCAAUUGAAGAUUGUUUUGAUAAUUGCCAGCCAUAAACACCUCUAGUAAAAUUUUUUAAUCUACUUAUCUUGUUCUAUUGUGCUAAACUUUUUACCGACUUGUUUCCUCCUUUUGAGAUCAACUUGAAGUUUUAGAUCUGUUGUGCCACAAAAGAAAGUAUGAUAUAGAUGUGUAAAUUGACGGAGUAAAUUUACCAAAAUUACUUUUAAGACGGAGGGUUCUUAGGUAAUGGUAUCAAUGUAACCUGGGGCCAAUGUAGGAAAAUGUGAUUGUGAGUAGGGGUGAUCGGUUCCCGGUUCGGUCCGGUUCCAAGGUGGAAUCGGGAACCGGACCGGGAAAAUCGGUUCCCAAUUUUGGGAACCGUGGACCGGACCAUCGGUUCCGGUCCAGUCCGGUCCGGUUCGGUCCAAUAGGAUCGGCACUUUCUUUUUUCACUAAAUAACGACCAUUCAUUAAAAAAAAGACCAUGCUCCGGACCGAUCAAUUCAAUUUGGUUCCCGGGCGAUCUAAUAAAACUACUCACACGUGUUUUCACGUGCAAAAUAUUCAAACUUCACUUGCAUGAAUAUUAAUAAUAAUUUAUGUGUUUCACUAUUAAUUUUAAGCAUAACUGUGCUUGGCUUAGGUUUUAUAGACAAUCUCUCUUCUAUGCUUUAAAUGUUUAGUCGAUGUCGGACUCUUUGAGGCUUGAAGUGCCUUGUCGUUUGCAAGUGAGGGGAGCAAGAGAGAGAGAGUGAGCAUGAGGAACUCCUAGAGCCUUAUCCCACAUCGAGUAGAAAAUAAAACUAAUAAAUAAGUUUUCUAAGAGCUUUGGUGGUCUCUUGGCCACGUAAGAGGUUGUUACCUCAAUUGCAAUUCCGAUUGCAAUAAAUUUCAUAUAUAAUAUUCAUAUAUUAUAUGUGUUAAUAUAUUAUAUGUAUAUAAAUUAUAUAUAAAAAAAAAAUUGGUCCGGUCCGGUCGGUCCGGUUGGUCCGGUUCCCACCUUGGAACCGGGAACCGGACCGCCGACCGUGGGAACCGCCCAAAACCGGCCGGUCCGGUCCAGUCCGGUCCGGUCCCGGUUCAGGCGGUUUCCGUUGCACACCCCUAAUUGUGAGGGAUUUAGAAUUUUUGUGGCCAUAAUGCAAACUAUUGAAAUUCCUUUAACUGCACAAUCACGUAUGUAACAUUAAGUCGGUGUCACUAAUACAACUUGCCUUUUACAAUUGGAAAUCACUUACUAAAGGGUUUAUCCCGACCUUCUUUGCGUGUUCGUCAUCCCGACCGAAUCAUUUAUGCUUUCGAAUCGGAGUUAUUGGAGAGUUUCCUUUGAAUCUAAGGUUGUCCAUGCACGAAGAAAAAUCCUAGAAAGAGUGUCCGAGGUUGCGGUGAAACUCUUAAAGGUUCCCUUAUUCUAAGGAGCUUGAAGCACAAUGAUAAAAAAAAGUCCACUAAAGAAGCCACGCGGGACUGCAUGGAUCAAAGCAAGAGCAAAGUAAUGGUGAGGAAACAGCACAAAUUACAAAGGUGAAAGGAAUUCCAUAAAAUUGUGAAAGUAGUGGAAGUAUAAGUAGAAUUAAUCUUUUUUUUUAAUGGUAAAUGAUAAUAAUGCAACGACAACAAAAAUAGACAUUAUUUGCGUGAUGAUAAAUGUUUGUUUUCUGAUUUAGUCAGAACACUCUUCACUUGUUUAAUAAGCUCCCAUCGCUUCUCAUAAUUAGCUAUAUGGCAAAAGAUGAAAACUGAAAAGCAACCAACAAAGAAAAUCAGAAAUAAUUGUGUUGGUUACACAGGGGACUUUUUCAAGCCCUAGGUUCACGCUUUGCGUGCAUUUGCCAUCGAGCGUCAUUUGCAAGGGAAAAUGAGAUCCUUGUGACUGAACUUUUACGUGUAGAGAUUUUCGCGGCAAAUUCUUGUCUAGACUUAGAUGCAUAUAAACCGAAUCAAUCACAUCUGCCCAUCACAUGUAUUGAACGUGAAUUUCACGAAAUCAAUGGCUGUGAUUGUGCUUGGUUGGACUUUCCGUGAUCUCGACGAGUAUUUUUCAAGAAUGCCAGUGGACCACUUCAAUAACAAAAGGGAAACAAAAUGUAAAAUUAGAGGUAGUUGAAAGGUAUCGAAUUAUUGAUCUUGUGACACUGAGGGUGACGGACGAGAGAAGUCAUGCAUAUUUGCUCUUAACAAAUGUAAAUUUUGUUGGUGGAUCUUUUGCCCUUAAAAUAAUUUAGAACAUUAACUUAGGGGGUGGAAACCAAAUCAACUUUUCUUCACUCUUCGUCUAUGGAGGUAACAUGAAUUUUAUAUUAUAUCGAUAAGUAAUUGUAGGUAGAUAAAGAUUAACUAAAACUUUUAAAAAAAAGUGAUGGGUGGAACCUUAGCGAACAUUGAAUGUGAUUUAUUUAAGUGUCUGCUUCUUCUUCUAGUAUAUACCGAUUACAUAUGCACUCUUAUUGUAUUUAAUAUUCUAAAACAAAAUUAAGUAAGAAAUUAAUACUUGACACGUAAUGGUUGACUUGUUUGGACUAAACACACAUUAAAUAAAGCACCUCGAAAUUCACUCGAUUCUUCACCUAAAUUUCCAGUCAAAUACAUUUAUUGCUUGAUAAAAUUUCCAGCCAAAUGACAAACUUUCCAGUGCUCAAUAAUCAAUGCAAUAGCUAAUUGUGGAAGGAGAUUAAUAAACCACUGGGGUUUGCCUUAUGAGAAUGGGGAGUUGGGGGUUCAAAUUCUCAUAUUCUUAGGGGUUGGGAUAAAGACGAUUUACUUUUAGGUAUGAAUUUCGACCCUCACGUCACGUAAUAAAGUAUGGCAAAAAUAUAAAAGUAUGAGUUAAAGUAAGAGUAGAAGAGGACCGGCAAAAAGAAAAACAGAAGAAGGAGAUUAAUACUGCAGGAAAACGUUUUCAGACACGCUCUUUUCGUAUUACUGCAUUAAAGGUUUCGAAGAAAUUCAGAAGGGCAACAGAUUUUUUUCGAAUCCUUUUGCGAGUACUCAAUCAGUGGUAAUUUCUGAGAAGGUGAGUUAUAAUUACUGAAGUAGAAAUAUUAGAUAUUUACAAAAGUUGUAACGGCACAUUAAGCAGAUUCCCAUUAAUUUUGGGCAAUUGUGAUUAAGAUCAGCGAAAACUUCGUGGAAAUGUCAUCCAAGAAACUACCGUGAACUUUCCAGGAAGUUCUCGCGCAAUAAAAAUUCUUGUUACACUGCACUAUAUAAUCUCAUAACCCAAUGCAUCUGUUCCACCCAAGUCAACCAGUGUUUUGACUCCCUAAUACUAAUCUUCAUCCUCUGAAGCCGACUCGUUUUGCUGAUCCAAGCACACCCUUUUGUCUUCUCCCUCUCUGUUGUUCAUCCAUGUCGUCGUUGAGGCUCCGUAAACCUAGCGAAGAAGCAGCAACCGAUGCAGUGCUCGACCACGGCGAUGGCCCGACGAAUAUCAUCCACAGGCGGAGAUGGCGCCUGGCUUUCACGGUCAUAUACUUCAUGAGGGCUCUCGAGUCUCUGUCGAAACAAGUCCUCGGGAAGAAGACGGACCUGUUGCGGACGCUCUCUUACGUUGCCAUCAAUGUCAACCUCGAGGGCAGUGAUAAUCCACGUGAAGGAGAUUGCCCUUCGCUUCGGGACGUCGGUCCGAAGAUCCUGAGUAACCUGGUAAGAGAGAAAAGCUUUGAAUCUCUUGCUCAAAUUGGUGGCGUUAAACGACUCGCUUCAAUUCUCAUGACAAAUCCUGAAAAUGGCUUGAGUGGGGAUGAAACCGACCUCAUGCGCCGAACCAAUGUUUUUGGUGCGAAUAAGUACAAUAAGCCCCCGGCAAAGAGCUUUCUCAGCUUUGUGCUUGAUGCGUUCAAAGACAUGAUCAUAAUCAUUCUCAUAGCAUGCGCUGUUCUCUCUUUAGCAUUCGGUAUCAAACAGCACGGCCUUAAAGAAGGUUGGUAUGAUGGUGGGAGUAUAAUCAUCGCCAUCUUUCUGGUCGUCAUUGUCUCUGCUGUCAGCAACUAUAAGCAAGGAAGGCAGUUCCGGGAACUUUCAAAAGAGAGCAGCAACAUUAGAAUAGAGGUUAUGAGAGAUGGCAGGAGGCAACCAAUUUCCAUAUUUGAUAUUGUCGUAGGUGAUGUCGUGUAUCUGAAGAUUGGCGACCAGGUUCCGGCUGACGGGUUAUUUGUUGAUGGCCAUUCCCUGAGAGUUGACGAGUCUAGCAUGACUGGUGAGAGCGAUCACAUCGAAGUCGAUCGCGAGAACCCUUUCUUGCUUUCGGGCACCAAAGUGAUAGAUGGCUACGGUCGAAUGAUGGUUGCUUCUGUCGGCAUGAACACUGCCUGGGGCGAGAUGAUGAGCUCCGUGAGCCGUGACUUAGAUGAAGAGACUCCGCUCCAAGCCCGUCUAAACAAGUUGACUUCCUUGAUCGGGAAGGCCGGGAUGUCGGUGGCUGUGCUGGUACUUGUUGUCUUGAUGAUCCGAUACUUCACUGGAUACACUGAAGAUGAUGCCGGAAACAGAGAAUUCACCGGUGGUAAGACCAAGUCGGAGGACGUGAUGGACGCCGUUGUGCGCAUAGUUGCUGCAGCAGUGACCAUUGUGGUGGUGGCUAUACCUGAGGGCUUGCCUUUGGCCGUCACUCUGACGCUGGCCUACUCCAUGAAGCGCAUGAUGGGUGACAAUGCCAUGGUCCGGAAGCUCUCCGCCUGUGAAACCAUGGGUUCUGCCACAACGAUCUGCACGGACAAAACCGGGACUCUCACGUUAAACGAGAUGAGAGUGACGGAGUUAUGUAUGGGAAAAGAACAUGUGAGUGUAGAUGCAUCCAAAGAAAUAGCGACUAGCAUCGUUGAAGUCCUACUACAAGGAAUUGGAUUGAACACGACAGGUACUGUCCACAUGCGACCUUCUGAAUCUGUUCCUGAAAUUUUAGGCAGCCCAACUGAAAAGGCGAUACUUUCUUGGGGUGUAUCCAAAUUGGGUAUGACGAUGGAUGAACUGAAGCAAGAAUGGGAGAUAGUCCAAGUCGAGGCAUUCAAUUCUGAGAAAAAGAGAAGUGGGGUCGCCGUGAGGAGGAGAGGAGAGCAGGUAGUUCACAUACACUGGAAGGGAGCUGCUGAGAUGAUCUUGGCAAUGUGUUCAGAUUAUUAUAGCCAAAGCGGGACGGUGAAUGUCAUGACUGAUGAAGCAAGGUCUGAUUUCGGGACAGUAAUUAAAAAUAUGGCAGACAAAAGCCUGCGCUGCAUCGCAUUCGCCUACAAAAAGUUCGAUGGCUCACUUGCUCAAUUUCAUGGGAAACUUGAGGAAGAUGGACUUACGCUGCUGGGGAUAGUGGGGAUAAAGGACCCAUGCAGACCAGGCGUGAGAAGGGCGGUGGUGUCUUGUAGAAGCGCUGGGGUGAACAUCAAGAUGAUCACAGGAGACAACAUGCACACUGCAAGAGCUAUAGCCUUGGAAUGCGGGAUAUUCAAUCCGGAGGAAGAUCUCGAACAUGAAGCCAUAGUGGAGGGUGUGCAGUUUCGCAACUACUCGCCUGAACAGAGAGCGGCAGCAAUCGAAAAAAUCCAGGUAAUGGCUAGAUCAUCCCCAUUUGAUAAGCUUUUGAUGGUGCAGUGCUUAAAGCAGAAAGGGCAUGUGGUGGCAGUCACUGGUGAUGGCACGAAUGACGCGCCAGCCCUAAAAGAAGCGGAUAUCGGCCUCUCCAUGGGAAUCCAAGGCACUGAGGUGGCAAAGGAGAGCUCAGAUAUUGUCAUACUUGAUGAUAAUUUUGCCUCCGUGGUGACUGUGCUGAGGUGGGGACGGUGCGUCUACAACAACAUCCAAAAGUUCAUCCAGUUUCAGCUCACUGUGAAUGUGGCUGCACUCGUCAUCAACUUCGUUGCUGCGGUCUCUUCUGGCAAUGUCCCUUUGACAGCUGUCCAGCUUCUUUGGGUGAACUUGAUUAUGGACACCCUGGGAGCAUUGGCAUUGGCGACAGAGCAACCUACAAAUGAUCUCAUGUGAAAGCCACCUGUUGGACGAACUGAGCCGCUUAUAAGCAGAGUCAUGUGGAGGAAUCUCGUAUCUCAGGCCUUGUACCAAGUUAUCAUCCUCCUGACCCUACAAUUCAAGGGGAGUUCCAUUUUUGGGGUGGACAAGAAAGUGAGGGACACAAUUAUUUUCAACUGCUUUGUCCUCUGCCAGGUCUUCAAUGAAUUUAAUGCCAGGAAGCUGGAGGAGAAAAAUGUAUUCAAAGGGAUCCAUAAGAACAAGUUGUUCUUGGGCAUCGUCGGCAUGACCAUAAUUCUUCAGGUGGUGAUGGUUGAGUUUCUAAAGAGGUUUGCCAACACUGAGAGGCUGGACUGGGGACAAUGGGGUGCUUGCAUCGGACUUGCAGCAUUGUCUUGGCCGAUCGGUUGGCUUGUUAAGUGCAUUCCAGUCUCAGGCAAAAAGUUGUUCUUUUCCUGCAGAGAAGAAGCAUCCUGAACCGAGCACAAUGUUAAACUCCGAGAAAAGAAACUUUUCUUUUAUUAUAAAAAUAAUUAGGGUUUAGGAAACUGUUUUUUAAAUUCUAGAUUUUAUGCAUUGUAAGUACUUUUUUAAAUUCUAGGUUUUAUGCAUUGUAAGUACCUUUUCUAGAUUUUAUGCAUGGUAAGUAUCUUCCUAGAUGAUGCGUCAAAUUACCUUUGUCUACAGAAUUAAAUGAACAGUUUAUUGCCAUCCAUUAUUUCAACCUUUGUACUUUGGUCUUGCUUGCUAUGCUACUGUUGAUUUUGGAAAUUCUUGCAGAUGAGGUUAUUAAUCAGGUGAUCAUGCUAUAUGCCUGCUUUAACAUUCCUAGUUCUCAGAAAGCUUCUUAAUGGGGGCAGUAAAACCCCAAAAACUUAUGCCUCAAGCUCAUGCAAGGGUAGCCCUUUUUGUUCUUUUAUCGCAUCAUAUCUCUCCUUUACUAUAUUAACAAAAAGCACAUGGUCCCACACGACAGAACUAAUUUUAUUUGAUGCAAAUGGCAAGGGACGAAUCAAGUCUCUUACAAUGAGCACAACUUCAAAUCCCUGGCUUUCAACUAAAGUUGAAAUACUGUCAUCUUUCUCAUAACUUCUUUAGAUACCUUCAACUAAAUUCCCCAUGUCCUAAAAGAGCAUGACCAAAGAUUCUAGCAAACAACUUGCAGGAAAAGGUUGAUAGAAGCAAUGAAGCACAUCUUUACACGAUGGACCUUGAUUUGCAUAAAUAGGAUAAAGAUUUCAAUGAAAAUGUCACAUCUUUAGAGGUUAAUAUUCUAAGGAUUUGUCUCUCCAAAUCAAAGAUGGCCAUAGCUGUCUUACAAGUGCAUAAAUCUGAUUGCCUAGAGGUGGCAAAAGAGCACCACUCCGAAAAAGGGAAAAAAACAAUAUAAACUGAUUCUUCGGAUGAAGGAAGAAGAGAAAUUUUCCUAGUAGAUCCCAAGUCGACAACCCAAUUCACCUAUCAACGUGAAUAGCUAUUUUUAAUCAACAUCACAACUUGUUUGCACAUAUCUCAGGAUCAAUCCUUCACCUCACUCUGUGGGCAAAACCCUCAUAGAUUAUAUUCGAUUCAUAUGACCAUGUUGACAAAGUAAAAACAAGGCUCACAAAAAAGGCUUACACAAACAAAUCAAUUUCCAAUGAUUUCAUACCUAACCAUCACCAAUACUAAUUGAUUCUUUUCAUGUCACAAAUGCAACAACCAAAAAAAGGCAAUGGACUAUUGAAAACAAAUAGAGACAAAAAAAAAAGGAAAAAAAAAAUAGAGUUUGGUGGACAAGUGGACAAGCUUCCAAUCCUGCUCUGUCUUGGCCAGCACAAGGCCUGAUUGAGGGCGAGGCAAUGAGGCAUCGCCAAUGUGAAAUACAAUAGUCAAUUUCUCGUAUGGUUUAACUCAUUUAGACUACCUUAAAAAUGCUUUUUUAGCUUCUUCUCAAUGCAUACCUUCAAUUCACUUUCCCAGAAAAGGGUUUCUCAGAUUGCUGGAGUACUAAAAGUUCAUUCAUUCCCACAAUUCCUCGGCAACAUAGUACAUGUAAACUAAUCAAACAGUAGUACUUUCAUGAAUAAACAAAUAAGGCAACCCAAAAAGAGACCAAGAAAAACAAACCUGAGAUUAUUAAAGAGCAGAGCCAGGACAACACUGUUCCCAUCAACCGUAAAAACUAAAAUUUAAAAUUUUCAGCGAUGGAUGUCAAUGUGGGGCUCCCUUAUUAAAUAGACCAGACUUCACUGAUUUGAGCUUCUGUUCCAUCUUUGCCUCCCGUACCAACCAGAAAGCAGAGAGAGAGAGAGAGAGAGCCCAGCUCGUCUUCUAAGACAAUGACAUCGGGAGACAAACAAAAGAAAAAGAUGAACCCAACUCGUCCUCUACAAGAAAAAACAUCGGAAGACGGGAAAAAAUCAAAAUUUGUCCGAAAUUCGCGGACAACCAGCAAUCCGUACGUACCAUCUGAGAGAGAGAGAGUGGGAGAGAUGCUGGCCUUUCUCCCUCGUUUCAGCGUUGAAAGUGCUUUGAAUCUGGCUUUGGGGUUGGCGAGGGGGACCCAAUUCGUCCUCUCCGCCCUUUUCCUGUUCUGCUCGCGGAGCUGAAGCGCUGGGAAAACGGUGGAUUCCAUCGAAAUUUUCUUCGGCAAGGAAAACGGGUUUAUCCAAACGAGAACGGGCUUUGGGCCUUUGGCCCAUUGAUUGAUAUGGGCUUUGAGCAUUGGGGAUUGGGCCCAUGAAGACGUGGUACUAAUGAUGGACAAUUGAACCGGUUUGGGCUGGCGGGCACGUUCACAAACCCGAUCCCCGAGGGCAUGCACUCCCAGAAAAAGAGAUAAUUGUGUAGGACGAAAUGGAAAUGGAACUGAAUAACGAACGGAAUGGAAUAGAAUAAAAUAAAAUAAGAUAAUCAAAUUCCUAUGUUGGAUUGAGAUGGAGAUCACCAUGGGUUCUUGACACGUUAAUGUUUUUCUCUCCUUGGUCGAGAACUUACACAAGUAGCUUGUUACGCCAUUGAGAAAUAAAGCCUGUGAUGAAAGUGAUAUUUGAUAACGAUAUUGAUGUUGCUUAAUUCGCCACCAUCGAUCCCUUGAGAGAGGAUCCGAUCAUUGAAUGUGUUGAGUAAAGUAUCUUGCUUGAAAUCCCUAUUUAGGUUCUUUCAAAUGGAGAAAAUAUCGAAUUCCUUCAUAUAAAAUCAUAGGGUUUGACUGAUACUAAUAAGGUAGGUGCCGCCCAAGAAAUCAUUCAAGAAAAAGCUUAGUUGAUUAGUUUGGCGAACAAGGUCUUGAAAUUUAGUAUACUUAUCCGCUUCUUUUGAAAUUAUUCUCCUCCUUGAAGUUACUUUACGUGUUGGUCUGGAAUAUUAGGUUAACACGAUGGUCAUAUUCUCCAUCACAAUGAUUACCCCACGAAUUCAUCCCUUGUGGCAAAAGAGUUGCAACUAAUCAAAGUAGUGGUCAAGAAAUUGGGGAUCAUUUCUAAGAAAUUAAACUCUUGACGAAGGAAAGUUUGGCUUCCCAUAUCUUUUCGAGGGAUUCUGGCGGUGAAAAGAGGUUGGCCUUUAAAGACUUGGACCCUCCAAUGAACUCACGUUGAAAGCCUGGACUUUGGAGCUUGUCUCACUAUUUUUGUUGAGAAAGUUAGAAUGUUCUAAAGGACGAAUCUUUAGGUAAUCAAGCACAAACUCUUUACUUAUUCAAAUCAAUCAUCAUGUGUCGAGAUUAUGAAGUUCUUUUAUCCUUUUUAUCUUUGCAAGAAUUGCUUUACUUCUCUCGUGGUAAUUGAUCAAGGUGGAUACAACAUUGUAAACGGAAAUAGUACAAAAAAGUCAUAAAUUUAUUACAUUGGUAUCAAUUUAGUUUAAAUUUUUUGAUUUGACUAAUUUAGUUAUAAAUCUUUGCACAUUUGUACUAAUUCAAUUCAUUAAAUCGAUUUGGGGUGAAAUUGCUGAUGUAGACGUUAAACAUCUUAAGUGGCACAGCUAGUGUGACGAGGCUUGGCAAGGCCGUCUUAGCCUAGGAGAGGGUUGACCUCACCAAAUUUGGUGAGGGGAGCCUUGCCUAUGGCCGGCAACCUCCCACUGACCAAAAAAAAAAAAAAAAGGAAAAAAAGAAAAAAAUUCAAAAAAAAUUCAAAAAAAUGGUUGAAAUAUUAUUAUUGUCCAUAUUAGUGAUUUCUGGCUUAAAUUGGCAAGAUGAAUUGAAUUUGUAUCAAUAAGAAUUUAGGAUUAAAUUCACCCAAUUAAAAAACUUUAUAACUGGAUUAGUACCAAUAUAAUAGGUUUAAAACAUUUUUAUUUAUACUUUUCUCUAUUGUAAUCCGAGAACUUUGGAAAAUCUUUCUUUCAUCAUGGUUGGCCCAGUUUGCUCGAUUGUCAUGUUAAUAAAACGUCUCUUCAUACCUUUUUUGUUUGAAAUUUUUCAUCUUUUUGACCUCAGGCAGCAUCUAACUUUCAAUAUGUUCGUCUCAAAGUGGGAUAUUAUUGCCAUUAGUGGAGAAUCGUUUGCCAUAUGUUCAAUUGGGACGAACCCUCUUAAUGGGAUCUAAUAGUUUCAAGAUCCAACACUCGAGCAGUUUCUUGAAAACUAGCUUCAUAUAUGUAUUGAAUCCAAGAUCUAUUGUUGGACGGCUCACAUCGAUUGACAAACUAAAGGAGAGAGAAACCCACGUCCGUGAUUUCAAUAGUUUCAGUAGGCGGGAUCUAUAGUUGUGUGAUCCAACUACUAAGACAAUAGGAGACCUCGACAACUAAAUCUUUCUUUCAAUGCAGAAAUCGGCAUCAAGCUAAAGGCCAAAUCUACUUAUAACAGGCUAUUUGCUGUGGGGAAUAUGAAGGUGCAGGAUCCUUAUGAAAUAUAUGAGGAAGAAAGAUAUAGAGACUCAAUUUAUUUACUGUUGAUAUGUCUAGAAGAAGAGGAUUGCUUCCACAACAAAACAAGGCCACUUCAAGAUUGAAACAAAGCUCCUUACUUAAAGCAUUGAGAUUUCUUGUACAUUUUCACAUGACUCACAGCCACGCCGCUGUAUUCCACAUUAAAAAAAGAAGCAACUUUUGGUGUUUUAUCAGGGCAAAGUGCCAUAAAUGCAUGUAACAAACCUGUGAAACAGUCACCUACCGAAAUGUGUUCCUUUUUGGCAAUACAAUGAAGACAAAAACAGAAAGAAGGGCUCGUGAGAGUGUGGGAGAGGGUGGUUAGGAACAGAUCGAUAUCAUUAAUCAUCAUGUGAAAAGGAGACAAAAAAGAAGAGAGCUACGCGGAGUCCGAGUCCAAUCCAAGGUUCCGGACAAAAGGAUGUGAGGCAAAACCCCAACCCCCAUGCAGAAGAGUCAAUCCAAGCUUCAGUUUCAAUCUGGUGCUCAAGUGUUCUUCCCUUUUGCAGUAAUUCUAACCCAAAAGCAUCAAUCUCACAGACCAACCCACCAACACAAACAGAAGCGCACACCGUUCAAACAGUUCGAGAGAGCAUUCACACAUUAUUGAGAACAAUCUAUCUAUAAAGAUAUUACAAAGCGAGUCUACUGCAACUUCUUUUUCGAGUGCUGCAAAUAAAACUUAAAGCACAAACAAUUCAUAAGUUUUAGAAUAUGAUGCCUCUUGUUAUACGAAAUUUAGAUAACGAAAAUCUGAAUGCAUAGGUCGAUUUUCUAAAGCUAGUUAGUUGAUGUUUUGGCAAGAUGCACUGCUACAUAUGUUGUUUCGUUCAUGAUCAUCCUAUUAAAGUUAUAUUGUGAAACUUAUGAAUUGUUGAAGGGGUCUAUCAAUCUAUGAACUUUCUUUUGAGAACAGCAUUUAUUAGUUAAUAUGACCUCUCAACAUUAUUAACCGUGCCAGAAUAAGCGGCGCUGAACCCAUUGUGAGAUCUAAGAAAAAAUUAAGAAAAUGCAUGGAAGUCUUUGGUGAAAAUGAUAGUUCUCUUAUGGUCAAACGUUUUAAUUUUCGAACUUCAUGACGCAUAAAGUAAAUCAUUUUGUUGCUGCUUAAACCUAGGGAUUGUAUAGUACCAAUACAGUGUGACAGCAAAAUGAACAUAACAAGCAACAUAAGAUGUCAAUGCGCUUGCAUCCAUUUGACCUUGGAAAAUAUCUCCUUCGUCCUUUCCCUUAUUUCUUUUUCGCCUUUGCUUAUAAUAACGUAUUGAGCAUGAUAAGAACAAGGACUGAUCUAAGCCUAAGGUACACAACCAUUCACUUCCAUCACCGUCUAUAUUAGUAGUUUUGAAAUUAGAGAAUGCAAAGUGUAACUAAUGGAUCUUGUAGUUUUCUUUAAUAUUUUUUUUGGCUAGUUCAUUUGGUGGAAAUAUUGUUGCCUUCUUAUAUUCCUUUUGGAUAAAUGACCACUCGCUUGCAGACAUUGACAGGCUUGCACGGAUGAGAAAGUCCGGCAUCGGGGACACCCGCCAAAUUCUUGUUUGAUGAAAGCUUUACAAUCGAUGCUGUGACUAAUUAGGUGAUUUAACAGAAACAAUGAACUUUCUUUCCCUUUUCAAAGGAAACUUCACCCUCAUCAGGUUUUUUUCUAGCCCAUAGAGAUGAGGAAGGGCAAACCAACUUCCAAUUGCAUUACCAUAAAGAUCUCGCAUCUAUUGUGUAAUGUCCAGAAUUAGGAUGCGGAGAGGUCGUAUACUCAGCACUAAUUAGCAAUCCAUUCCAUAAGUAUACCAAGAAACAUGCACUGCUACACCACCACCGGUCAUUCCGUACAUCGAGUUGUGAUGAUAUCAAGUAAACAUAUAGAUCUGUAGACCAGUCACGUUCUACCAGAUCUAUGAAUGUUUGCAUUCCAAACAGAUCAGACGGAUUUUGUUUUCUUUCACCUUCCGAUUCUUUGGUCUGGUUAUGAAAACAAUUUGCCGUUCCUCGUGAUAGUUGACUUGUUCAAGUUUCUUAAAUCUUGUCAUGCGUAUGUGUGUAUGAGAGAGAGAGAGAGAGAGGUGGUCCAAGUUAAAUUAAUCGAUGCAUCAGUGAAAAUACAACAAGUCUAUAUUGGAGGCAUUACAAGGAUAGGAUGACUCUGGCAUUCGGAUCCAUCCCUGUGACUAUUACGAAAAAGAUAAAACGAUUAUGAAUUCUCCACUAAAGAAGAAAUAGAAGAUGGUGAUUAGCUCAUUUCCUGCUGAUUUAACAUCUCAACCAGAAUGAAUUUUGUAAUAAUCGCAGUAGAUCUACAACUUCAACAAGAUAAUUCCAACCAUUUCUAGAUUUUAUGCAUGGCAAGUAUCUUCCUAGAUGAUGUGUCAAAUUAUCCUUGGCUAUUGAAUCAAAUCAACAGCUUAUUGCCAUCCAUUAUUUCAACCUUUGUACUUUGGUCCUGCUUGCUACGCUGCUGUUGAGUUGGAUAAACUUGCAGACGAGGCUAUUAAUCAGGUGAUCAUGCUAUAUGCCUGCUUCAACAUUCAUCUCUGAACUAGCAUUCAAAAGGUUAUCCUACAGGAAAACUAGAAAAACAAUUUGCCAGUUCCCAGCAAGCUUCGUAAUGGGGCAGUAAAAACCCAAAAACUUGUGCCUCAAGUUCAUGCAAGGGUUGCAUUUUCGAUUCUUUUCUCACAUCAUCUCUCUCCUUUACUAUAUUAACAAGAAGGACAUGGGCCCGCGCGAUGGAACAAGUUUCAUUUUAUGCAAAUGGCGAGAAACAAAUCAAGUCACUUAAAGUAAACACGACUUCAAAUUCUUAAGAUUGCUGGCUAUUAACUAAAGAAGAGAUGCCAUCUUCUUUUACUUGUAACUUCUUUAGAUAUCUUCAACUAAAUUCCCCAUGUCCUGAAAAAGCAUGACCAAAUAUUCUAGCAAACAACUCGAAGGAAAAAGUUGAUAGAAGCAAUGCAGCACAUCUUUACGUGAUGGAGCUUGAUUUGCAUAAAUAGGAUAAAGAUUCCACUGAAAAUGUGACAUCUUUAGAGGCUAAUAUUCUAAGGAUUUGUCUCUACAAAUCAUAAGAUGGCUAUAGCUGUCUUAUAAGUGCAUAAAUCUGAUUGCCUAGAAGCAGCAAAACAGCACGACUUCAAAAAAAGAAAAAAACAAUAUGACAUGAUUUUUUGGAUGAAGGAAGAAAAUAAAUUUUCAUAGGAGAAUCCAGAGUUGACAGCCCAAUUCACCUAUCAAUGCGAAUAACUGUCUUUAAUCAACAUCACAACUCGUCUGCGCACAUCUUGCAAUCAAUCUUCACCUCAUAGAUCAUAUUUGAUUUAUAUGACCAUGUUGACAAAGUAACAACAAGACUCACGAAAAGAAACUUACACAAGCGUAUCUAUUUCCAAUGCUUUCAUACCUAAGCAUCACCAGUAUUAGCCGAUUCUUUUCAUGUCACAAAUGCAACAACCAAUGAAAAAGGACAGAGACAAAAAGUAACAAAGAAUUCGGUUGACAAGUGGAAAACAAACUUCCGCGUAACCAGCUGCCAUCAUUUUCCUGUACCACGCCCGGGAUUGGUUACCCGGGGAAGGCAUCGUAGGAGUCAGGCCUGGGGGGCUUAUCCCUUGAGGGGGGUUACGUGCGCCCCGGCGGUUGGGAUUAUAUAUUUUUCUCCCUAAUCCCAAGGGGAAGUUGUCUUUCCAGCGUCAAAGCCUUUUAAAGGUCUUGCUUAGGACCAAUGGUCGUGAAUAAUGGAGAAAGAAGAAAUCGUCCAUUUGAUUACGACGGCAGAGUAAUCAGUCCGCGAUUUCCAGGACAGCACCCGACGUGCGCACGAGUCUGGGCUUCCGGUCACAGCACGGAAUUCCCAACCCUCACCCCCCAAAAAAAUAAUAAAUAAAAAAAAGGAAGAAUCUCUAGCGACCCGACCCAGUAUAAUUGUCGGGCGAUGGAAAACUUCCAAACCUGAUCUGUCCUGGCUGAUUAAGGACAAGGCAAUGAGGCAUUGCCAAUGUGAAAUACAAUAGUCAAAUUCUCGUAUGAUUUACCUCAUUUAGACUACCUUAAAAAUGUUUUAUUAGUUUCUUUUCAAUGCAUACAUUCAAUUCACUUUCCCAGAAAGGGGUUUCUCAGAUUGCUGGAGUAUUAAAGGUCAUUCAUUCCCACAAAUUCUCAGCAACACAGUACAUGUAAAGUAAUCAAAGAGUAGUACUUCUUGAGAUUAUAAAAGAACAGAACCAAGAAAACACACGUUCCGAUUACCCGUAAAAACAAAAAUUUUAAAUUUUCAACGAUGAAUGUCAAAUGUGGGGCUCCCUUAUUAAAUAGACCAGACUUCACUGAUCUGAGCUUUUAUUCCAUUUUAUCUCACGUACCAACCAGCAAGCAGAGAGAGAGAACCCAGCUCGUCUUCUAGGACAAUGACAUCGGGAAACAAAAAGGGAAAAACAAGAACCCAACUCGUCUUUUAGAACAAAAGACAUCGGAAGACCCAAAAAGAAAAAAAGAAAAUUUGUCCGAAUCGCUGACAACAAGCAAUCCGUACGUACCUGGCUUAGAGAGAUGCUGACCUUUCUCCCUCGUCUCACUGUCAAAGGUGCACUGAGUCUGGCUCCGGGGUUGGGGAGAGAGGGACCCAUUUCUUGCUUUCUGCCUUUCUCCAGUCCGCUUGUCAGCUGAAGCGCUGCGAAAAUGGUGGACUUGCGUCCGCGCUUUCCAUGAAAAUCUUGUGCUGCGAAGAAAACCAGUUUUCCGAACGAGAAUGGGCUUUGGGCCGUCGGCCCGUUGAUUGAUAUGAGCUUCGAGCAUUGGAAAUUGAGAAAAUAUUGGCUGCAGCUUUGACUCCAGCGUGUCUUCCUCCUAGUCCAUUCACCGGGCGACACGUGUCGCUCAGCAGCCACGCUGGAGUCCGAGCGCGUCCGAGAAAAUAUUAGGUAGUCCCGGACCACCACGUCACCGUGCGCCCGCCCAAUGAAGAGACGAAACAUGGCUCCACGUGGAGUCGGGCCCGAGAAAAUAUUGGGUGGUCCGGGACCUCCACGUCAGCGUGGUCCCCGACCACCCACGAGGUGCCAUAUGGCGCGGUGGGCCCAUUUAGUGUCUUCUGCCUUCUUCCUCCUCUCUCUUCUCUUCCUAGCCUGCCGACGCCCUCUCUCCCCCUAGCUUGCACACUCUCUCUCCUGUCAGAGCAUUUAUUGCGGUUUAAGCUUUUGUUUUCUUUCUCAAACGAAGGAAAAGAAGCCCCGUUCGUUCCUCUGUCCCCUCCAUUUGUUUUUCCUCUCGAAAAUUUGAAUAUGAAAAUUUCUCUCUCCCCGCGCUUGUUGCUGCUCUGCCGUGCAUCAAGCGGCCGUUCCCCUGCCGUCGCCGACGAACCACAUUACGACCGCCCCUACUCCAGUGCUCGCUCGCUUCGCUCCGUCGUUUGUUCCGGCGUUCCUGGGAUCGCAGAUGUAGCACGCUGAGGAGAAGCAGGCCUCUUCGAGCUCCCCUCAAUGUCGGCGAGCGUCAGCCACCGAGCGAGACCCCCACACACUGGAAGGCUCGGAGGCGAGGUUGCUGGAGAAGAAAGGUUGAGCCCCUCUGCUUCCGCUGGUUGCUUCCAUCGCCCCCCACCCUGACGCCAAUGCCGCCGACGCUCCUCCGCCUCCCUCUCGCGACGUCCGCUCUGCUCUCUCUCUCCCCCCUCCGCGAAGUCGUGCCUCUCUUCCAGCGAAACGUGACGCCGACGGCCCUCCACCUCCACCAGUUGACUCUAUCGCCCUCGACUCCGACGCCGAUGCCGACGCUGAAGCCGACGCCGACGCCGACGCCGCUUCCUCCCCUGAACCCGACUCUGACGCCGACACCCCUCCGCCGGUUGCUUCCGUCAGCGUCGAAGUCUGUCACCCCCGACUCCAUCGCAUCCUUCUACUCCAUCAUCCACACAACGCCAUCGCCAGAGAGCCCACUCUCCCUCCCCCUCUCUUAGCCAAUUUCGCUGCACCACACGAACCCAUCACCGCCAGCCAGAACCCCCGGCCCCCGUCGCCAGAAUUCUCGCCGCCGCCGCCGCUGUGUCGGGCGGGUCCCAGGUCCCGCUCCCCCCUGGCAGAGUGCGCCGAUCUCCGCCCCGUCGCCGCUUCGCCGCGUCGCCGGUUCCGAUCCGAGUGGCCGGAGCUCGCCGGACGUUUCUUCCGUCGGGACUGGGGACCAACUCUGCCCGCUCUCGCGGAGUCGCUGCUGCUCGUCCUUGCGCAAUCUGCUCUGACUCGUUGUCGCGAGGAGUUGUUGCGCGGAAUUGUGGAGAGUUUGCCGAGCUGUAGCUGAGUAACCGUUGCUCUUCGCCCUCGUCGCUUGAGACCACAGCUUUUAAGCCUUUUUGGGUCACGAUCAGGUAAAGUGGAGCCCAGGUUCUAAACGGUUUUCUUGAAUUAGAGUGGGGAAAUGAGUUGAUCUUUACAUUUGGCGUGUGUGCCCUCUUUGAUCGUAGUCUCAAUCGCGUGGAGUAAUGCAUGCUUAGUCCAAUUGAUAUUUGAUCAAACUUAACUGCUGUUUGGAGUUGAGGGGAUUAUUCUUGAUUAAGAUUCUGGAAUUUUUUAUUAAGGAGAGAAAGUAAUGUCAUUUUAAUGCUAGCUCACCAAUUAAGGUUAGGAGGCAAUUCCAUGCUUAAUUACGAUCCGAAUCGCGAAUCUUGUCAUGAGGUGAUGUUAGCUGGAUGUUGGGUGUUUGCCGUUUAGAUUUAGUUUUGCCUAAUUGCAUGAUUCAAUUGAGAAAUGACUAGUUGGUUUGGAUUAUUGGUACUUUGGCAAAACACUAUUGAGGAUUGUCUGAUUGGUGCCAGUACAUACAAGAAAAGAAUGGGAGUUGUAUAGCCCAUAGAUACUUUCCUGGCUUCAGUAUUUGUACAGUGCUUGUCUGGAAUCUACUUGCUAUCCUGCAGAUUAUGCAUAUCUUAGAUUUUUACCAGUAGUUCUGAUGCUGUCAGUGGUUUUUGUUGCCAAUUUGAUGGCAAUAAGAGCUGCUUCCUUCCUUUCUCCAUCUAGAAAGGGAUUCAUGGUGGAUAGAUGUUGAUUGGUCCUACAAAGUUCUAGCAAAAGUAGUGACAAAUCAACCUCAGGAUUAGCUUCUAUUUUCCACAUCACCUCAUAGAUUAAGAGAAGAAGAGAACCAUUAUUUUAAUACUCUAUGGCUUUUCUUCUGGGAUAUUUGGGGUUGUGUGGAUAAAAGCGGUUAGCUUCUGAUAUUAGAAGAGCACCGACUAGGCGAUGUAGUGACAGAAAAUGCUCGACAAAUUGAUAUCUAUGUAUGUGUUCUCAGUUAAGUUUUUCUCUAUGCAUGCCAUCCUUUCUAUCUGAUUCUGGAAUUAAACUUUUUAUAUCAGGAUGUUCGUGAAUUCUGUGAAGAGACUUCGAAUUAUGAGGACUUCUGAGGCUAAUGGACUUGGUACUGAAUUACAGAGCCAAUAUUCUGAGACUUGAUCGUGUACAUGGUUUUGUAUGAUCAUGAUAUUUAAAGCAUUGUUGAGGAUGAGUGCUAACCUUAAGCUGGGUAGCUCUGAAGCUAUCCAGGUCCUUGUAGAGCAUGGUUGCGAUCUUUUGAGUGAACAGUGUGUAUAGCUUGCCCAUUAUACGGUUGUGGAAAUGAAAAGACUGGAUAAAUGGAGCAUUUUGAAAAUCAUGGUUGCUCCUCUUGGUGUCCCUUUUCUUUAUCUUUUUGUUAAGGUGACACUACCCUUUCUCAACUUUUGUCACUGCCGGUUAAAUCAAACUUUGGAAUGUCUUAUGUAUGUUGUGUGUACAUAUAUUCUCGCAACUUAUUUCUUGUUGAUAUGUGAGAGAGAGAGAGAGAGAGAUGGACACUCUUCUUUCUUGUGAAUUGUUUAUUGGUUCUCCAUAUUCUCUGCGAAGAAAUGAGAUUUCAUAUUAAGAGUCUUUCUGAUCAAGCCCACUUGAAUUGCUUAUCAAACUGGAAUUAUGGAUGGCAUGAGAUUUGGCAUGUAAAUGGCCGCAAGUCUAGUAUUGAGGUUGAAAACUGAUGAACGAUGCACCUGGACUUUUAGCAGAAGUUUUUAAAAUUAAUUAUAUGAUGCAGAUGCUUUCUCCUCCCUUCCAAUAGUUAGGUUGUACCUUUGAACAGAUUCCAAGUCAAUUAAUCAUCGGUAAAGCAGCCAAGAUAAGAACCCAUUGACGUGUUUGAGCAUCGCACUGGUGCUAACUUAAACCACGGGACAAUCGAUUAUCCUUGUUUUUAUUGUCCUGUUAUAUAUAUUAAUUGCUAAGGCUUCUAGGGCGCACUCAAUUUAGUAUUUAUUUACACAAUGGAACAUGGAUUGAAACAACUCAUGUUAUAAAUAAAAAACCAAAAAUACCCUUCAUAAUCCAUGAACCCCUUAAUGCCAUGAACUCCUUACACCAUCAAUUAUCCUAAUGAACUUGAUCUACAUGAUUUCUAUGUCAUGCAUUUUUCCUCAUAUUUAAGAAUGUGUUAAUUUCCAUUGCCAUUACCAACCAUAACCUCUUAAACAUAAACAACCAUCUUGAUAUCCUUUGCUUUUCGGGUGAAAGUUACCAAGAAAACAACAUAAGAAGAAAAACUAAAGCUUUAUAAACAUACUGUUGCAGUGAUUCUGGACACGGACAUAUACAACAAAUGAAGUUUUAUUUGCAAAAAAAGGUACCUAGAUCAUAUACCAGUGAUCUUUACAGAUAUCAGAACCAGUAGCUACAAGCAUUUAAUUAAGAAAUUCUACAUACAGAGAAAAAUUGAAGGAACUAUUAGCCAAAAGGAACUCAAAUGCUCAGAACUCAAUCCCUAGAGAAGGCCAUUUACAGGUGACGUGCUAAAAACUGGCUUGUCUUUGCUAACAUUGCGGCACCAUUGCUACUGCUCUUCCUCCGAGGUUUCGCCUCUCCGAGCAUGGUUAUGACAUCCCUCAUGCAGGGCCUAUCUCUCAGUAGUUUUACAGUACAGAGGAGCGCUAUGCUGAGCACAUUACGAGAUUGAUUACUCAGAUUCGAGGCCAUUGCGCUCCAAAACCCAGCCCUUAGAAACCAUAAAAGCCAAAGUCAUGCGCACCGAACAAAAAUAAAAGACCUAAACUAUGACUCUUCGACCGAUGAGCUAGCUAGAAUACAUAUCUGAAACCAAACACAAAGUUAGGCUAUAUCCAUUUUUCUUCUCCUAUGUCUUUAGCAUUUUACUUAAGUUUCUCACCAGUUAAAGGAAGCCUCUGUCAUUGAUGCAAGUGCAACUCCACCAACGAUUGGUAAAAGAGAAGAGACAACCUAGAUGGUUGGAAAGUGUAGGGGCCAAAAAUGACAAAAAAGUUAAAAUGGGAGGCGGAUACUAAAUGCUACACCAUGAAUAUCAUUAGUCUUUUGAGAUCAUCAGAAAAUUAAGAAACAUGAACAUUACAUGUUAAGUUCAACAGGUAACCAUAUUAACUUAGCAAACUAAAUGGUUGCAAAAAAUGACGCGCUUUACAACAACUCACAAUAAAAUGGUGCAUCAUUUAGUAACCAAAAAACUACAUCAGAACUGAAAGCUGGAAAUAAAGGGCAAGAUCUAUAAGUAUUUGCACCUCCCCAAGAAACAUAGCCAAUAGAAGGACAGAAAAAUGGCUCCAUGUCGACGAAUUCUCCGAACUCGUACCCAUUCUUUUCUUGUAUGUACUGGCACAAAUCAGACAAUCCUAAAUAGUGUUUUGCCAAAGUACCAAUAAUCCAAACCAACUAGUCAUUUCUCAAUUGAAUCAUGCAAUUAGGCAAAACUAAAUCUAAACGGCAAACACCCAACAUCCAGCUAACAUCACCUCAUGACAAGAUUCGCGAUUCGGAUCGUAAUUAAGCAUGGAAUUGCCUCCUAACCUUAAUUGGUGAGCUAGCAUUAAAAUGACAUUACUUUCUCUCCUUAAUAAAAAAUCCCAGAAUCUUAAUCAAGAAUAAUCCCCUCAACUCCAAACAGCAGCUUAGUUUGAUCAAAUAUCAAUUGGACUAAGCAUGCAUUACUCCACGCGAUUGAGACUACGAUCAAAGAGGGCACACACGCCAAAUGUAAAGAUCAACUCAUUUCCCCACUCUAAUUAAAGAAAACCGUUUAGAACCUGGGCUCCACUUUACCUGAUCGUGACCCAAAAAGGCUUAAAAGCUGUGGUCUCAAGCGACGAGGGCGAAGAGGAAUGGUUACUCAGCUACAGCUCGGCAAACUCUCCACAAUUCCGCGCAACAACUCCUCGCGACAACGAGUCAGAGCAGAUUGCGCGAGGACGAGCAGCAGCGACUCCGCAAGAGCGGGCAGAGUUGGUCCUGUUAGGGAAAUCCCUUAUGAUGUUUUGAAGAUGACAAAAUAAAUCAAACGCUACUAACAUGUUUAAUGGUUAAGUAAUAGACCAUGCAGAUAAUAGAACAUAUAAAGGAUAUUGUCAAAGUCUGAAGACGGCCAGAAGACUGAACGUAACAUAUGUCCAAAGUAUAUUAUGAAGAUUUCCAGACUUCUGUGUCAAAGUCUGAAGACUGCCAGACUUUAGUGUCAAAGUCUGUUCUACAUCAGAAGUCUGUCAACUCUGACUAAUUCCAGACUGAACGUGAAUGCUGAAGCUGAACCAGAAGAUAGACUCUAUUCUGAAGCUGAACUGGGUACAUACCUUAAAGCUAAAUCUGUUCAGAAGCAGAUAUGUUCAGACCCAGAUUGUAAAGUCUAUUGCACUCAGACUCAGAUUGUAAAAUCUAUUGCUCUCAGACUUUACAUCCAGACUCGACAGAACGUAACUCAAGCCCAAUCAUAUAACGGCUAGUGAUUUGGUUUGGAUUCCACAUCAAGAUUAAUUUGAUUGAUUCAAUCUAUUUGAUUGACGAUUGGAUCUUAAAGACAAGAACUUUCUAUACGAAGAAGCUUUACUUAUGGAAACCAAGAUUUCAUUUGUAUGGGCGAUCAGAAUCAAUUUGGGAUUCUACCUUUGUCACUCAACGGCUACCAAAUCUUCUAGAUACAGAGCUGUCCAAUGGGUAUAUUGGAAGACGAUUCUCCGGGAUACUGUCCAACGGGUAGUUUGGAAGUGGAGGAGUAUUUAAGGAGAUCAUGGACCGAUGAACAAGUAAGAGAUAGAGCGUAGAAUUUAUAAUUCCAAAGUCUGAGCGACCUUCGAUCAUAACACUUGUCUUUGGAGAGCUUAAACGUUUGUGAUCGUGAGAGAAAUACCAAAAGAGUGACUUAGUGAGAUAGUGUGAUCUGUUAAGUGUUUGCACUCAAAGUUGUAAUCUCUUGUUGAUUGCAUAGUGGAAUCCAGCCAAGAAGGCUGUUAGCGUGGGAGAGUGGACGUAAGCUUGGAUUAAGCCAAACCACUAUAAUUUCUGUGUUCUUAUUCUCUUUCCUAACUCCUUUGUUUAAAGUUUAUUUUAUUCCACAUAUAUUUGCCAAGAUUUAUCUUAAACACCUAUUCACCCCCCUCUAGGUGUUCAUACUAGCACUCUCAGGUCCCAGUCCCGACGGAAGAAACGUCCGGCGAGCUCCGGCCACUCGGAUCGGAAUCGGCGACGCGGCGAAGCGGCGACGGGGCGGAGAUCGGCGCACUCUGCCAGGGGGGAGCGGGACCUGGGACCCGCCCGACACGGCGACGGCGGCGGCGAGAAUUCCGGCGACAGGGGCAGGGGGGUUCUGGCUGGCGGUGAUGGGUUCGUGUGGUGCAGCGAAAUUGGCUGAGAGAGGGGGAGGGAGAGUGGGCUCUCUGGCGAUGGCGUUGUGUGGAUGGAGUAGAAGGAUGCGAUGGAGUUGGGGGCGACGGACUUCGAUGCCGACGGAAGCAACCGGCGGAGGGGCGUCGGCGUUAGAGUCGGGUUCAGGGGAGGAGGUGGCGUCGGCGUCGGAGUCGAGGGCGAUAGAGUCAACCGGCAGAGGUGGAGGGCCGUCGGCGUCGCGUUUCGCUGGAAGAGAGGCACGACUUUACGAAGGGGGGAGAGAGAGAGCAGAGCGGACAUCACGAGAGGGAGGCGGAGGAGCGUCGGCGGCAUCGGCGUCAGGGUGGGGGGCGAUGGAAGCAACCAGCGGAAGCAGAGGGGCUCAACCUUUCUUCUCCAGCAACCUCGCCUCCGAGCCUUCCAAUGUGUGGGGGUCUCACUCGGCGGCCGACGCUCGCCGACAUUAAGGGGAGCUCGAAGAGGCUUGCUUCUCCUCAGCGUGCUACAUCUGCGAUCCCAGGAACGCCGGAACGAACAACGGAGCGAAGCGAGCGAGCACUGGAGUAGGGGUGGUCGUAAUGUGGUUCGUCGGCGACAGCAGGGGAACGGCCGCUUGAUGCACGGCGGAGCAGCAACGAGCGCGAGGAGAGAGAAAUUUUCAGAUUUAAAUUUUUGAGAGGAAAAACAAAUGGAGAGGACAGAGGAACGAACAUGGCUUCUUUUCCUUCGUUUGAGAAAGAAAACAAAAGCUUAAGCCGCAAUAAAUGCUCUGACAGGAGAGAGAGUGUGCAUGCUAGGGGGAGAGAGGGUGUUGGCAGGCUAGGAAGAGGAGAGAGAGGGGGGAAGAAGGCAGAAGACACCAAAUGGGCCCAUCACGCCACAUGGCACCUCGUGAGUGGCCGGGGACCACGCUGACGUGGAGGUCCCGGACCACCCAAUAUUUUCUCAGGAGGAGAGAGAAUGGGAAGAAGGCAGAAGACACCAAGUGGGUCCACCGCUCCACAUGGCAUCUUGUGAGUGGCCGGGGACCACAAUGUGGAGGUCUCGGACCACCCAAUAUUUUCUCAAAUUUGAUAGAAAAUAAUGGUGGGCCCGACUCCACGUAAAGCCAUGUGUCGCCUCUUCAUUGGGCGGGCGCACGGUGAUGUGGUGGUCCGAGACUACCUAAUAUUUUCUCGCGUCCCUUAUAUUAAAAUAAUCUUCUUUCUCUCUCCUAUAGCGCUUGUACGCUAGUGACACGGCCCAUGGACAAGCAUGAUCCAA